UUAUUAAAAGUUUUUUUAAAUUACCAAAUGUUGAACAAAUUAUAUUUUUAUCAAUAAAUACUAACAUGCGGGCUGAUCCGCCAACCCUCAGACGAAAACCGAUUAAAACCUAUGAUCCACUGCGAAUCAAUCCAUGUGGUCCGUUUAUUUGCGGAUUUAAUAUAUUUUCCCAAAUAUGCCCCAUAGUGAGAUGAUUUGGGCUCGACCCACAGUUUCCUAUGAAUCGUCUAAUUUUAGAAUUCUAAAACACAAAAUCCCAUUUUUUAAUAAUAAUUAAUAUGAUCGGUUUAAUUAUAAACAAUUUAAUAUUUUCUCUACAAUUCGUUAUUAUGAAUAUUUAUAAGUACACUACACGAUUCGCUCUACUUAAAACGCGCACAAUAUUAAAAUCAACGUAUGUAAACCAAUAUUCUCCCGCGGUGGACCGCGGGUCCUAUCCUAGUUAGCUUAGUAUAAAGUGAUUCUUGGUGGAGCAAACCCAAGACUGAUCAGUGAUCACCAUUCAUUUCAUACAUUGGACUAACUUAAGCAGUUAAGCUAAUGACUCACCAAAAGUAAUUUGUUUGAAAUAUUUAAGAGCUAAAGUAUAUAUUACCUUAACGCCAGAGGCACUAACAUCCACAUGGUGGUCUAAGCCAUCCUGUAUAAAAGGAAAAUACCAGAUUUGGUAAGACAGGGAAACCCAAAUCAAGGCAGUAAAAACAAUGAAAAGCCGAUGACAUACGAUAAGCCUUUUCUGCAAGCCAAGCUCCUCAUUGAGAGCUAGAGCAAUGUGUUUUACACUCAUGACUGUUGCCUCCAACUUCUCAAGUUCUUCGUCUUGUUCUACUCGCAGAAAAAAAAGAACAUACUAAAUAGAGAAACUAAUACAGAAUUCAAUAUCUGUAUUAUAUUCACUAGGAUAAAAGCAGCUUGCCUUUCAUAACUUGUCGUUGUAAUCCAACAAUUCCUUGGUUAUCCAUGCCAAUAACUCUGCUCAUGAUAUCAUCUUGCUUUUCUGGCCUCAACAAGCUGUCAAUAUUGGAAAAUUUUAACAUGUCCAAAGCAGACGCCAUCUGAUUUGCUUUUGAUCUCAGAUCCUCAACCAUACCCUUGCGCCGGCUCAUCUCUUUUGCUGAACUGUGCCAGUAAGUAAAUGUUCAGAUUGACAAAAAAGAAAAAGAAAAAGAUACAUUCACAUAUUAAACAUUAAUUAAACUUUAAAAAAAUAUCAAGUUUACAUAGGUUUUCCAGGACUUUUAGCAACAAGAUACUGCAGAGUCUCUACUCGAGUUGCCAAAAUGGUGAUCUUUCUUCGCAUAGAUGAAGCAUGACGUAGAUCAUAAUGUUCUGAUCCGGCCAUUGAACUGCUUUCUAAUAUCAUUUCAUCAAUCUCCUCUGAGAGUUUUAAAGCCUCGUUGUGUUCUCUCUUCCAUGAAUCCAACGAAGAAGCCAUUGACCUGAUUCCUACAUAAUCAAAAAAGUUAAAUCAAAUACAGAUCACUUUCAACUUGACCAAGGAAUGUAUAUACAAGAUGCAACAACAACAACCAAAAUCCAACUAGCUUACAAGAAGCAACAAAUUCAAUAUUGGUAUUAACACAUGUAUUAAGGGAUGAUCGGAGCAAUUCAACAACAUAUAUAUUCCCAAAAAGAGAAUCCAAUUGCUCACCAAGGACCUUUGAUUAAUCCAUCAUUUUCAUGGAGAAAUAGAUCAACUAGCUGAGUGCUGACUUUGUAGCCACGCAACCAGACGGCAGUUUCCGUCGAAAGAAGAGAUCUUUUAAAUACGAGGCCGUUUACUUAUAUGAUCGUAGAAAGUUAGGCGUUGACAAGUCAUUUAGAGAUUAAGAAACAGUACACACAAAAAAUGAAGGACCAAAAGGAAUUUUGUUUCCAGUGAUAAUGGAUGGAUGACAUGAAUAUCGGUAUUAUAUAAAUUUCCCACAAUAUUGAACUCAGACAAGUUUCUUUGAUGAAGAUCUGACAUAUACCCUUUUUUUUUUGUCUCUGCAUUUUACUCACUACCACUUCUUAAAUCUUUAUGAAGACAGCAAACUGUGAAAACUGCACACGUUACAUAUUAUUAUUUCUUAAGGGUUCUUGUAACAGAAGAGAAAUGAAAAGCUCAACCACAAAUGUGGAAUGAGGAAAAUACAUUACAACCAUUCACAUAGAGAGUAGAGGCCAGUGACAGUGACCUACAGAGAAACUUAUAAGUUUUCUGAUGUUGGUAUUACAGAUACUUAACCAACAUCCAUAUUACAACAACAAGACCGACGAUCCCCAGCACUGACAAGAGCAUUGACAUGCAAGAGCAACCACUUCUCAUAUUCUUGUUCAUGACAGCAAGGCUCUUCUGCACUCUCUGUAAUAAGAAACAACAUACAGAACAGAUCAAUGUCUUUAAUUAGCCGUUAACUUAGCAUAAUGUGGUUCUUGAUUGAGAAAACCCAAAACAGAUCAUCAUUAGAUCAAUGUUACUCCUGAUAAAGUAUGGACCAACUAAAGCUUGGGAUUCACCAAAGUGAUUUGUUGAAAUAUUUAAGAGUUGAAGCAUAUAUUACCCGUAAGCGAGAGUCAGUAACAUCCACAUGGUAAUCUAAGUCAUCCUGCAUACAGGAAAAUCCAAAUGUGUCACGAUCCGAAAAUUCAAACCAAGGCAAUACAAUGAAAAGCUAGUGACAUACAAUAAGCCUUGUCUGCAAGUCAAGCUCUUCACUAACAGCCAGAGCAAUGUGUUUUGUGCUCAUGACUGUUCCCUCCAAUUGCUCAAGUCCUUCGUCUUGUUCUACUCACAGGAAAAUAACAUAUUCAAUAGAAAAACUAGUACAGAAAUCAACAACAUCUGCAUUAUGUUUACUAGGAUAAGAGAGGUUACCUCUCAUAACUUGUCGUUGAUAUCCAACAAUUCCUUGAUUAUCCAUGCCAGUAACUCUGCUCAUAGAAUCAUCCGGCUUUAUUUCUGGCCCGAGCAAGCUGUCUCUAUUGGCAAAGUUUGACAUGUUCAAAGCAUUCGCCAUCUGGUUUGCUUUUGAUCUCAAAUUCCCUACCAUAUCCUUGCGCCGAUUCAUCUCUUUCUCUGAACUGUGUCAGUAAGUAAAAAUUCAGAUUGACAAGAUCAGAUCAACACUACACUUAAAAGUGUCUACUUUACAGUUUUAAGCAAUUAGGAUUUAGACUAGUAAAUGGCUUACAUAGGUUUUCCAUGAAUUUUAGCAAGAAGAGACUGCAAACUGUCUAAUCGGGUACCGAAAAUGGUGAUCUUCCUUCGUAUAGCUGAAGCACGACGCUGAGCAUCAGGCCCUGUGACAGCAGAAGAACUUCUUUCUGAUAUCAUUCCAUUAAUCUCCUCAGAGAGUUUUAAAGCAUCGUUGUAUUCUCUCAUCCAUGAAUCCGACGAAGACGCCAUUGACCUGACUCCUAUACAAUUAAAAGCUAAUCAAAGCCAAGACCUGGGAUUAUACAUCACUUUCAGAGAAAUUUUCGAACUUAAUCAAGGAUGUAUAUGCAACAACAACAACAAAGAUCCACAAAUUGAGACAAAAACGCGGCCUUUGGAUAGAAUUUUCUAUAAUCAGACACAGAAGCUCAAAAUAUGAAAUUUCCAGGAUCGAUAAGUUCAUGAUAAGGGAAGAUCGGAGCGGUUCAGCAACAGAUAUAAUCCCAAAUCAAUGCACUGGGAUUGACGAAAAUAACAUGGUUAAAAGAAUCGAAUUGCUUACCAAGAUAUUCCUCGGACCUUUGAUCAAACCUUCUAUUUGAUCCUGUAACAGAUCGGCUUAUUGAAUGUUGACUCUGUUUUCGCCGGAACCACCGUGAAUCGGAGGAGAAUGAGUCGACCUGUCACGCACCGUCGAAAGAAAGAAGAGAUUUAAAGAUGAAGCUGAAAUAAAACGACGCUGUUUAACUUGUGAUAGCAGAAAGUUAUGGGUUAAUUAGUUAUUUAAGAAAGUAUUGGUUAAUAAACAGAAACCAUGUAUAAAUAAAGGACCAAUAAAGAAUUUUUAAAUUUUCGAUCCCCACAUCCAUCCCAUGCUUGUGCUCCUCUGUCUCCUUCUUCCUUGUCAGAAUCUUGAGUUUCUCUCUAACUGUGUGUCAUAAUUAGAUCGUUCUGAUUGCAGUUUCCGUUUCGAUUAUCGUUAAUGGUGUUUUUGUUUCCGGGAAAGUGAUAUAUUUUGAAGGGUAAUUUUGGUGUUCUAAAGCAAGCUCGAGAAGGGGAUCGCACGAUACAUUUUUACAAUCUCGCGACUUCGAUUCAUGUAAGUGUUAGCUCUCUUAUUCUUCUUUCUUGCACAAAGUUGAAUCUAAAUCCUUUACCUUUAUCUCUCCUUGGGUUCAAAUUCAUGUUUUUUUCUAUAACAUUUAUCGAGUUUGAGAUGUCUGAUCGUUAGUGGCUGAAACUUGUUUUUCAGGGAAUCAAUAGAGCAGUCUAUAAUCCCAGGUUUGCCUGAUGAUUUGGCUUUGAGAUGCAUAGCGAAGCUUUCUCAUGGCUAUCAUGGAGUGCUCGAGUGUGUUUCCAGAGGCUGGAGAGAUUUAGUUCGUAGCGUUGAUUACUCUUCCUAUAAAGCUAGAAAUGGAUGGUCAGGGAGCUGGUUGUUUGUGUUGACAGAACGUUCUAAGAACCAGUGGGUUGCUUAUGAUCCUCAAGCUGAUCGAUGGCAUCCUUUGCCUACAACUAGGGCUGUUCAAGAUGGUUGGCAUCAUUCUGGUUUUGCGUGUGUUUGUGUUUCCAAUUGUCUUCUUGUGAUUGGGGGUUGUUAUGCGCCUUCUGUGUCAUCGUUUCCUCAUCAGAAGCCUGUUGUCACUAAAGAUGUCAUGCGGUUUGAUCCGUUUAAGAAAGAAUGGAAAAUGGUUGCUAGUAUGCGAACACCACGGACUCACUUUGCUUGUACUGCUGUCUCUGGCAAGGUUUAUGUUGCUGGAGGUCGCAAUUUAACCCAUUCCAGGGGAAUUCCCUCUGCUGAGGUUUAUGAUCCUGUGGCUGAUAGGUAUAUUUAUUCCUCCACUCACGUGGCCUAUAUUCUCGUGUAUUAUCUGGUGUAGGAUAUAUAUAAUUGGCAUGAAGAAUCCCCACAAUUUACUCUUUUUGGUUUUUUUCUAUGCUGGCUGAGAUAUACUUUUUAAAGUUUUCUUAUGUUUAACUUGAGAAGCUAUCAAACUGGAGUCUAACAUAGAAGUAUUGCAGAUGGGAGGAAUUACCAGCAAUGCCUAGACCACAGAUGGACUGCUCGGGGUUAUCGUACAGAGGUUGCUUUCAUGUUCUGAGUGACCAGGUGGGAUUUGCAGAGCAAAAUUCAUCUGAAGUUUUUAAUCCACGAGACAUGACUUGGUCCACUGUGGAGGAUGUCUGGCCAUUCUCUAGAGCCAUGCAGUUUGCUGUUCAGGUGAUGAAAAAUGAUCGAGUGUACACUAUUGUAGAUUGGGGAGAAAGCUUGAUCAAGACUAGGGAUACAGAUGAAGGGGAAUGGUACAAUGUUGGUUCAGUUCCUUCUGUUGUUCUUCCUAAUCAUCCGAGAGAGUUAGAGGCCUUUGGUUAUGGGUUUGCAGCUCUAAGGGAUGAGCUCUAUGUUAUAGGAGGUAAGGUCCUUAAAUGGGAAGAAUCAGGGGCAGGGAGAUUUGACAUUGUGAGAUUGCCCGUUGUGAGGGUAUGUAACCCUUUGGAUAGGCCUCUGAAUUGGAGAGAGACCAAACCGAUGUGCAUUCCAGCCGGUGGGUCCAUCAUUGGUUGUGUAUCCUUGGAAGAAUCUUCUCCGCUUUAAACCAAGGUGAUAGAAUCUUCUGGAUGUAUAAAAUUGUUACAGUCAAUUCUUUGAUUGUUGCAUGGUGAGAAGAAAAAGUAGUUAGAAGGAGUCAUGGAAAGCAUUUGGUUAUCAUCGAUAUCUGCUUUUGUCUUUUUACAAACAAGUAACUUCGCCUUGUUAUUUGAUCAUCUCUUUUACAGAAGUCUCGUAAGGCUUAUGUUAAAAAGUAAGAAAGCCUGAAAUUUAGCAUAUCUUGUUUCCAUGCUGGCAUGGAAACUCUACGCCUUAAACUUAACUAUGUGUUGGUUUGUGGUUGAUUAUGGUUGCGUAUUUUCCAGUAAGGGUUAACACUCUUUAAAAAAAUUUACUUCUACUGUAGCUGACUUAUAUUCAUGGAAUGUCCGAGUGUGUUCCUUCUCUGAGAAAGACCUUGGUCUCAUUGUCAAAGUGGAAGCUUCUGCUGUAAUACUCACUGCACAUACAACUGGACACUUGGAGCUAACUGGAAAUCGUGUGGGUGAAAACAGUUGUUUAUGAGGGAAGUCGUUACCUAUAAUGCAUUUAUCUUCCGGGUAAAAGGCUUCCACCUUUAUGUGAAAUGAGUUCAGUAUGUCAUGCUAUGAGAUGAUUACUGGUUGUUAGGCCGUUACUGUCACUCAUAUUUGGAAUUAAACUUGUACAUAAUAAGAGAUUCAUGUUACCUCAGUGUAUUUGAGUGUUAGUGAACUUAUCUUUUGUUAUGUCUCCAUUUUACCUACACUGAGGUGUAUCAUGUGUAUAGACUAUAGAUCAAACACGUGAAAGAUAAAUUAAGAGUAAUACAAAUAGUUUGCUUCUUUUUUAGAUUCGUUGAUUUGCUACAUAAAGUCUUAUAAAUUGCAGAAAGAGGUAUUAUUAGAUGAAGUAAUGGAAUACAUUCACACACACAUAUAUAUAUAUAUAUAUAUAUUUUGGACGGCGAUUCGCACAUAUCAUUCUUUGUUGAAAUACUAUCUUGAAAGGUGAAGAGUAUUGGUUUUCCUGUCACUGUGUCUUGUGAAGCAUGAGUGGUUCUGAUUCCAGUGAGAAUGAGCUGUUUUCAAUGACUAUGUCCGGAGAAGAGUAAAGGAGUGACAUAGAUUCGGGCAUUGCAAUCCGAAUGUGCCCAUGCUCUUCAUCAUUCUGAGUUCGGCUUUGAAUGCCUUUUUUCUUGGAUUGCAUCCUAUCCAGUUCAAUAAAAACAUCUCUCAUGGUAGGGCGAUGUUCUGAGUUCAAGCUCAAACACCUUCUUGCCAGGUUGGCUACUGAAAGGACCUCCUCUUGAUUGCAUUCCUCCUUGAUGCGAGCAUCAAGAAUCUCGUGAAGCCUAUCAUUUCUCAUGGCUUCGAGGAAGUAGGCACCCAACAUCCUGACUUCUUGGCGCCUCAGAAGGGAGACAGGUUUCUCUCCGGUUAAGAGCUCAAUGAGCAAAACCCCAUAGCUGUAGACAUCGCUCUUCCCUGUGAAGUGGCUUGACUGAAGGUACUCUGGGUCUACAUAUCCAAUUGUUCCCUGCACUAUUGUUGUCAAGUGAGUGUCAUCUAUAGCAAUUGAUCUCGAAAUUCCAAAAUCUGACACUUUUGCUCGGUGCCUUUCAUCCAAUAAGAUAUUUGUUGACUUGACAUCCCUGUGGUAAAUUGGUAUAGAGGCGGCUGAAUGCAGGUAGGAGAGGGCAUCUGCGACUUCGCAGGCGAUGCAGAGACGGACUUCCCAAGUCAUUGGGAAAUCCUCUGAUGGGUUUUGAAGAUGAUCGAAAAGGUUUCUGUUUGGAAUGAACUCAUACACUAACACAGGUACCUCUGUCUCAAGACAACAUCCUAAAAUCUUGACAACAUUUCGGUGGUUAAUCUGUGACAGAAGGAUUAUCUCAUUGAUGAAUUCCUCAAGAUUCUUUUCUUCCAAUGCUUUGGACUUUUUGACAGCGACGAUCAUCCCAUCUUCCAACAUUCCCUUAUAAACUGUACCUUGGCCUCCUUGUCCCAGUAUUCUACUAGGGUUGAAUUUGUCAGUUGCCUUGUUAAGGUCAUCGGAGCUGAACACUUUGGUUCUAUUGACACUGCCUUGAAGGAACGAUGUCUGUUGUUGUAACAACAAACCUCCGUUUCGUUUGAAGAAUUUUCUUUUCUGCUUGGCUGCUUUCCGCUUUUUAUUAACCUUGCAUAGCCACCACGUUCCAACGACUAAAAGCAACAAUCCAGUACUUAGUGUUCCACCUGCAGAAUAACUCUCAGCGCAUUGUAAGUUGAUCUUUACAGUUUCAAUGAAGAAAGAUUAUCGGCUAUGCAGAAAUUAACUUACUUAAAAUGGCUGGCCAAGUUUUCUCACAUUUGAAUGAUCCAGACACAUUCACACACUUGUUCUUUCCACAUUUAUUGUGAUAUGAAUAUCUGCAUUCAUCAAUGUCUUUGGACAACACCAAACUUCUCAUAAUCACUUACAGAAUUCUAUGGAUUAAGGCUAUACACAUACUCAAAGAAUGAGAAAGAAGUUUAUACACACCUUGACAUCCACCAGGUAUAUAAGGAUUUCCUUCAUAACCAUGUUUACACCAACACUGAUAUCCAUCUAUGGCAGAUAGGUUUCCUAAACUUCUUGGAAUUUGUUCACCAUUUAUACUUGCCUCACAUAGCGCUGAACCCUCUGAAGGGAUGGGGAGAACAUCAAGGAACCAUUCCAGCUCCAUCAUAACGUAAUUUCUGUACUCUUGUAGUUCAGGAGGUGUGAACAUGAACGCAGCCAACUGGAAUUGUGUCAAGUAGGCAACCUGACAACCAUCUUUACUGGGUUCUAGUUUCUCCACAGUUGCAUCAAACACUUGAAGACCAGAUGGUAUUUUGGUCUGACAGCACUUAUCACCCAGACAGCCCCUGACGUUAUCAUCUUUGUAAGUCUCAUUCUUGCACGUCGCCUCACAUCCCACGAUCUGUGAUCCUGUGCCUUUCAUCAAGGCCUUGUUGUUACAUCCAAUAGCUGUGAACUUAUUAUUGUCUGAUAUGAAGAAUGGACUCCCCUUCAGAUUCAAAGACGAUGAAUCUCCUACUGAUCCGUUGGAACAACCUGUAUGUUUCAAUGGACCCAGAAUGUGAAUCUUGUUGCUCUGAUAAUGAGAACGGUCAUCGAUGGAGUAAUAGCUUCCAAGGUCAAACGAAAUAACCUCCCGUCUGAUGCUAAGCAGGAAAGGUACAGAGAUUUGUUCUGAUGAGUUGAUGCAGACGAUCUCGAACCAUUUGUCCUUGUAACAACCUUGGCCUAUCCCAAAAGGGUAAAGAACACUAACAUCUCCGCAAUGGUCUUUGCAAUUUGGAAGUGCAAGAGGGAAAGUAGAAGCAGCUGCGUGUUCGGAGAUUCGCAACAGAAUCAAUACCACAAAGAAACGUUUUAGAUCACUAUCCAUUCUCUCUCUCUCUCACACUCUGAUCAGCAAUGAUUUGACUAAUACUAUAAUACAUAGUAUCGUUCCUCUUGGUCUUUCUUUGAAAUUUCCUCGCAAUCACUGCUAAUGUUUCUUUAUUACCCCAUGAUUACAUCAGCGAAGACCUUGACCGCUUCAACCAAAAAGAAAGAAAAAAAAAAACGAAGAUCUUGACCUGUGUGUGAAUGGGCUCCAUAAAAACAGUAUAAACACAAAAGAGGAACCCCUUUCUGAAAUGCGAAAAACAUUCAUAAUGAAACGCUUCGAACAAAAACACAGAAGCAGAAUACUCUGUUUCCUCUGUUUUACGUUGACUUGCAUGUAUGUAAAAAAGGUUGUAGCGACAACCUAUUGGCUGUCUGUCAAUGGGCUUAGAACUUGAGAGUUAAUAAGGCUAUGGACUUUUAUGUUUAGACUUAAUGGGCCUAAAACUUGAGAUGGUCUACAAAAUUCAUACGAAUCAAACUAAAAAGAAUCUAAAAAUUUCCGAAACUGAAUUCAAUGCAAAUUGAAAUGGAAUCAGAUUAACCGAAUUCAGAAAAUGACAGUUCUUGUGGGAAAGAAAAAAACAUUACGUAAGGGAAUAAAAAGAGAGAAAUUUUAUAACGAAAAUGAGAAUGAAAGUAUGCGCACGUUCUUCUACUUAAUUCAUUGAUUUAGGAUCUGAUGAUAUUGAGAGUCCCAUUUAAUGCAAACCGUAUAACAUAAGCUACGGGAGAGAGAGACUUGUUGAUUCCAUGCUUCUCACUUACUCCUCACUUAUUCUUCUUUCAUCUCAGCCGUCUAUUUCUCUCAUCAUCGAUAGAUGUACGGUUCUCGUUUCUUCUGGUUUUAAAGCACCGAGUCACACGGACACGAACCAUUUUGUAUUUUUCUUUCCAUUACAAUACAAAAAAAAAAAAAAAAAAAAAAACUCUUGACAAUUUAUUUGGUCAUUUUUAUCAUUUCUUUAAACGGAUUUACCAUUUUUUGAGUAAGCAACGAGGAAACCUAGAGAAAGUGAGAGAAAACCAACAAAAAUAAUUUAAAAAAAAAGUUAGGGUUUUGAUGCAGAUUCUGAGAUUUGAACAAAGAGAAGAAGAUGUUUUUGAUUGUUGCUAGCUCUCACAAUCCUUCUUGAAUCUACUUACCGGUCUAGCUCUACAUUUUUUCUUUGUGGUAUUGUUCUAUCAGUUUUUGAUUCUUUGACAUUUUCUGAAACUUUAUUUUUGGGUAUCUGAAGCUAAUUUUAGCGAUGUGGUAUGUCUAAAUCUUUCAAAUCGAGCUAGGGUUUUGUUUUCCUUUUUUCUUAAAUUACUUGUAUUGAGGUUUUGGAUUAAUUUAUGUAAGGUUGAUGUGGAAAAGUUUCCAUUUUUGGAAGAAAAAGCAUGUUUUUGGACUUUUCUGGUCGGAUUAUUCAAUCUACAAUUGCAAAUGGAAGAACUUUGAUGAGUAUUACUCUGUUUAAUUGAUAGUAUGAAAGACUCGAUGUUUCUGGAGGAUUCAUCUUCUGCUAAAACUUAUUUAUCUCUCUCAAUUGUGUUCAUUGCAGCUUAAAUAUUUAGGAGGGGAAGUUUGUAGCGGCAUCGGCUACAAUCGCUGAAGCAAUUUGGCAGUGAUUCUUUAUAGUUCAGUAUGUCAGAUUCUUGUUACAGGUCUUGUCAAUUAGAAUAAUUUGAAGGACUGUUGUUGUUCUUGUUGUUGUGAUGGAUAGAAACAGACCACCACAUCCGUUCCAGCAACAUGCCAUGGAACCUGGAUAUGUGAAUGACUCAGUCCCUCAAGGAUUUACCCCUGAUCAAACGGGUAUCUCGAAUGCAAAUGUCCGACCUCAUCCUGCAGAUGUUAAGCCGGGGCUUCAUUACUCCAUACAAACAGGGGAGGAAUUUUCUCUCGAGUUUCUACGCGAUCGGGUGAUUUCUCAAAGGUCUGCAAAUCCCAUUUCAGCUGGAGAUAUGAAUUAUCCCAUAGGUUAUAACGGGCACGCAGGGUCUGAAUUUGGUUCAGAUGUUUCGAGGAUGAGCAUGGUGGGAAACGGCUUGACGCAGUAUGAGAGAACAAACCCCACGGGUCACGAGUUUGGGAAUAAACUUGGGCAUAUCCAUUCAGCACCAGAAGCUUUAUUAUGUCAAGAUAGAAGUUUAGGAAAUUUUCAUGGAUAUGCAUCUUCUUCAGCCUCAGGUAGUUUAACAGCAAAGGUUAAAGUCCUUUGUAGCUUUGGUGGGAAAAUACUUCCACGUCCAGGUGAUUCAAAGCUUAGAUAUGUUGGAGGUGAAACACACAUUAUUUCCAUAAGAAAGGACAUUUCUUGGCAGGAGCUCAGGCAAAAAGUUCUUGAAAUCUACUACCGGACUCACGUUGUGAAGUAUCAACUUCCUGGUGAAGAUCUUGAUGCCUUGGUGUCUGUAUCAUGUGACGAAGAUCUACUGAAUAUGAUGGAGGAGUAUAAUGAGAUGGAAAACCGUGGGGGUUCGCAAAAGCUUAGGAUGUUUCUGUUCUCUGUGAGUGAUUUGGAUGGUGCUCUUCUGGGGGUUAACAAAAAUGAUGUUGACUCUGAGUUCCAGUAUGUUGUAGCUGUUAAUGACAUGGACCUUGGAUCAAGAAGCAACUCAACCCUUAAUGGAUUGGACAGCUCUUCUGCAAACAAUUUAGCUGAGCUGGAUGUCAGGAACACCGAGGGAAUCAAUGGUGUUGGCCCUUCGCAGUUAACAGGGGUAGAUUACCAACAAUCCUCUAUACAGUAUUCUGAGUCUGCUCCACCAACCUCCUUUGCUCAGUAUUCUCAAUCUAUUCCACAUAAUGCUGCAUUUCAGUUUCAGCAAGCUGUUCCCCCAAAUGCUACUCUUCAGUAUGCCCAGUCCAACCCACCAAGUUCGUCUAUCCACUAUCCUCAAUCUAUUCUACCAAAUUCCACUCUUCAGUAUCCACAAUCGAUCUCAUCCGGCUCGUAUGGAAUAUACCCACAAUAUUAUGGAGAAAGAGAGCAAUUUCCAAUGCAGCAUCAUGAUCCCAAUUCUUCUAAUUACUCUAUUCCCAUGCCUUUCCAAGGGCAGCCAUACCCUCACCCUGGCAUCACACAGCAAAACGCACCAGUUCAGGUAGAGGAGCCAAACAUAAAACCUGAGACGAAAGUUCGUGAUUACGUUGAGCCUGAAAAUCGUCAAAUUCUGGCAAAUAAUCACCAGAAUCUUCCUCAAGCGGAUGAUACUGAGGUUAAGAAUCGGGAGGCAUCAGUUGCAACAACUGUACCCAGCCAGGAUGCUGCACAUAUGUUGCCCCCAAGAAGAGACACACGGCAGAACAAUCCUGUGAAGCCUUCUACCUACCGUGAUGCUGUUAUUACUGAGCAGGUUCCUCUAUCCGGUGAAGAUGAUCAGCUUUCAUCAUCAAGUGGUACCUGUGGUCUUGUUCAUACCGACUCUGAGUCGAAUCUAAUUGAUCUUGAUUAUCCAGAACCUUUACAGCCUACCCGGAGGGUAUAUCGUUCGGAGAGGAUACCUCGUGAACAGUUGGAAAUGCUAAACCGCUUGUCAAAGUCUGAUGACUCACUUGGUUCUCAGUUCUUAAUGUCUCAUUCACAAGCUAGCACUGGACAGCAAGAACCAGCAAAAGAAGCAGCGGGUAAAUCACAUGAAGAUUCCCAUAUUGUUAAUGAUGUGGAAAACAUCUCUGGAAAAGUAGGGGCAUCAAAUGUAACCGUGGACAAAAUAACGGUCAAUGGUGGAGGUAUUGAGCCUGAAGCUCGUAACUUGAGCCAUGUAGACACAGAAAUGAGUCACGAUAUCCCUGAAAAGCAAACUUCUUCAGGUGUUCUUAUUGAUAUCAAUGAUCGGUUCCCUCAGGACUUCCUUUCUGAAAUAUUUGCAAAGGCACUCUCUGAUGAUAUGCCGCCAGGUGGCAAUCCAUAUCAGCAUGAUGGAGCUGGUGUUAGCUUGAAUGUAGAGAAUCAUGAUCCUAAAAAUUGGUCUUAUUUUCGGAAUCUGGCCGAGGAGCAGUUUAGCGAAAGGGAUGUUGCUUAUAUUGACCGAACCCCUGGCUUUCCAUCUGACAUGGAAGAUGGUGGAGAAAUCGCCAGAUUGCAUCAGGUUGCUCCGUUGACAGAAAACCGUGUGGAUCCUCAGAUGAAUGUCACAGAGAGUGAGGAAUUUGGUGCUAUGGUUGAGAACUUAAGGACCUCAGACUGUGAACAUGAGGUAUAAGUCUCUGGUAGAUUUGAUUUUAUGAUUCCAAAACCAUGAGUAUACUAAUGAGGAUGAACUUGAUAGGAUGAAAAGACAGAAACAAGGAACGCUGGACUUCCCCCAGUUGGCCCGUCUCUGGCAGAUUACGACACAAGUGGCUUGCAGGUAUGAUGGACAAUAAAUUCUUACACCUGAUAGAAGUUUUACUUAUUCUGCAUUAGAAAAAGGAUAGUAAGUUUCAGAUUGUUAAAAGAACCAAACAUAGUAUAACCCCUGUUUGUCAUUAUAAAAUAAAUUUCUCCUUCUAGUCUCUGCCUGUGAUCCUUCUAUUCUUAAAUGUUUCUAGAUCAUUAUGAAUGACGAUCUCGAGGAGCUAAAGGAGCUUGGUUCUGGCACAUUCGGUACAGUGUAUCAUGGGAAAUGGAGAGGAUCAGAUGUUGCCAUCAAAAGGAUAAAGAAGAGUUGCUUUGCUGGCCGAUCAUCUGAGCAAGAAAGAUUAGUGAGUGUUUCUGCAUUUUCUUUUGGAAAAAUUUCCUUUGGGCAUAUGUUAAAAGGAUUACCUAGUGAUAACACUUCUAGAUUUCUCAUCAUGGGACGCUUAUGAAUAUACCUUUUCUGUUCGCUAGACUGGUGAAUUCUGGGGAGAAGCUGAAAUUCUUUCAAAGCUUCAUCAUCCAAAUGUGGUUGCAUUUUAUGGUGUUGUAAAAGAUGGCCCUGGCGCAACAUUGGCUACUGUAACAGAGUACAUGGUUGAUGGUUCUCUGAGACAUGUUCUACUUAGGAAAGAUAGGUACAAAUCUCUCUUAUAACGUUUCUGUGUUUUCCCAUCUGAUGAACGGUUAAAGAUUAUUUGCUUUUUCACUUUUAUAUUGUCAGACACCUGGAUCGUCGCAAGAGACUAAUCAUUGCCAUGGAUGCUGCCUUUGGAAUGGAAUAUUUGCACGCCAAAAACAUUGUUCACUUCGAUUUGAAAUGUGACAAUUUACUUGUGAACCUCAAAGAUCCUUCUCGCCCAAUCUGCAAGGUAAAAAUUCAAUUCAUAUGAUGUCUUUGAACAAAAUCCAUUCAUACUCUUCACUCGUUUGUUCUUCCUCAAGGUUGGUGAUUUCGGUUUGUCAAAAAUUAAAAGAAAUACAUUGGUAUCUGGUGGUGUACGCGGAACCCUACCAUGGAUGGCACCAGAGCUUCUCAAUGGUAGCAGCAGCAAAGUUUCAGAGAAGGUAAAAUGAAAUAUUUCAUAGUGAAUAACUGAAUAUAAAGAAUGGGAACAAAACCAAAUCGAGUUAUUGCUGUUUUUCCUGCAGGUCGACGUCUUCUCUUUCGGUAUAGUCUUGUGGGAGAUUCUAACUGGGGAGGAACCAUAUGCUAAUAUGCACUACGGUGCUAUAAUAGGUGCGUGUUUAACCAACCCACAAGCUUUGGUUUUUCCUGCCCAAUCCUGUUUUUAGUUCGGAUUUUUUGGUGUAUGAAAUAUAACAGCUCGGAUUGAUUCGAUUCUGGUUUUGGGUUUUACAUUGAAGUAUUUUCAGAAAAUAUGAGGUUAUAGUCAGCUUAUGGUCGGGUUUUUGGCCUGGAAUUGGUAAAAUCGGAUUGGACACGACUAGGUCUUAUCUUGCUGAGAAAUUUAUGGGUUAAACGCAGGUGGGAUAGUGAACAACACACUGAGGCCGACCAUACCUAGCUACUGUGACUCGGACUGGCGAAUAUUAAUGGAGGAGUGUUGGGCGCCUAACCCAACAGCACGGCCAUCCUUCACGGAGAUAGCUGGUCGGUUACGUGUUAUGUCAACUGCAGCUACUUCAAACCAAUCCAAACCACCAGCCCACAAGGCUUCAAAGUGAAACAGAGUCGAUAUUUUAUAGGUUUUAUCUUUACUCUUUCCAAGUGUUUUGGACUUUUGGGGUCAGGAGGGAGAUAUUUGUUGACCCUUUUCUCCUUUCCCUUUUUUUUUCUAACGAAAACGAAAACAAAAUAAAUAAUAAAUUUGUUUUUUCUCGCCAGUGUGGAGAAGGAAAUAAGAUAGAUAUGUAAGAACUAAGAACGUUUCUUACCAAAUGUGAACAAUCGAGGUUCAAGAAAUAUAAGGGACUGGCUAAAUGUGAACAAAGUAAGAACAUUGGUAAACAUAGAUUCUUAGAGAUUUGCUGCUCAAAAUGCAGCUAAGAGAACAAAACUUGAAGAUGAUUUUAGUCAUCAAUUUUCUGUUGAUUUCUGCCUUUUGCUCCGUUUCUUAAGCAACCCUUUAUCCGCAAGUGUUUUACGUUUCAAUUUCCUUCGGUCUUUAACCUUGUCUUCGAAUCCAUUAUCUAGCAUCCUCAUCAUUGCCACCCUUUUGGCUUUUGAGACCUGCAGAUUCAGUUUUAGAAGUUUGGAUCAGUAAAACACGACAGGAUAUCACUCAGCAGCCAAUAACUGAUCUUACUCUUCUUAUAUACCCAGAUGAACUGGAACUUAGACACCAUUGCGAAGCAGCUGGUAUGACUCAGUAUUUGAUCAGAUUGAGCCAAAGAUAAAAGACGAGAACUUAGAUAUAUUACACUGCUAAUCUUACCUUUGUGACUUCUAAACUGUCAGUGAUUAUUUUGUUGUUGUACGGUUCCAUCUUUUUUCCAACUUCCUCUUCUAUUUUAUGGAUAAGUUUCACAUCGGUCUGCAAAAGGAUAUGUAAGGGUUUGGUUGUAAGCCCAACCAUGAACAACAAAACUUAAGGGUCGAUGUUUCAUGUGGUUCUGUGAUUUACUACUUUACCUCAGUGAUAAUGCUUACAGCCAGUCCUCCUCUACCAGCUCUAGCUGUACGUCCAACACGAUGAACAUAAUCCCUCGGAUUUCUGAUUUGAGCCAAAUGUAGAAUUAGAAUAUCAGUUAAACAUGAAAAGCACAGUGAAUUAAAGAAAAAGGAAAAUAUCAGCAAAAGGUACCUCGGAAUGUCAUAAUUGAUGACAAGGUCGACAGUAGGAAUGUCCAAUCCACGGCUGGCAACAUCAGUCGCAAGCAAUAUCGGUAUUUUCCCAGACUUGAAUUUACUUAGUGCAGAUAGUCGCAUAGACUGAGAAUUCAGAGAAUGCAUAGCUACAUUUUCCACUUCAAGCUCGUCAAGCAUAAGACUUAACCUUUGACAUGUUCUAAAACACGCAACAAUGUCUAGUCAGUAACUGCAAAUGGAAUCACCCGAUGAUAAAUGUUUUUUUUUUAAUAAAGCAGCUAUGAAUAUGAGACCUGCAAGUGGAGACAAAAAUCAUGGCUGAUCGAAUGCCCUUAUCUUCCAUUUGCGACAGUAUGUGCACAAGAUAUAGUUCUUUCGCAUCUUUGUCUUCGAAAAUGAACUGCUGCGUAAGAGUGUCAACAGUCUUUAACCCUUCAUAGGCUUCAUAGAAAUAAGCUUUGUUUGAAGAAUGUUCGAGCAAUGUCUGUAAGUUACUAGUCAUCGUAGCAGAGAACAACAAUGUUUGUCUACUCUUUGGCAGACACUGAAAGAUUGUCCGCAACUCGUCUUGGAAACCAACAUCAAGAACUCUAUCCGCCUCGUCCAGUACUAAGAACUAAGCAAGCAAACACAAAGUAAAGCUAAAAAUCAGUUAAACGCAGCAACUUCAGAUAGCUCUGAAUUUGAGAAUGUUCUUCUUUACCUUGGUUCUAGAGAAAACUGGAGGAACAUCAGGAUUGUUUUCAAGCAAAACCUUAAUUCUCCCAGGAGUAGUAAUAACGAUAUGAGGUCGUGAAACCAAGCUCCUCGUUUGCGUCAACAUAUCCAUUCCUCCCACAAUGACAGAGCAACGCAAAUUCAAACACGAACCCAAAGCCUUAAACUGCUCAGCGAGCUGGAACGCUAGCUCUCUAGUCGGCGUCACUACAAGCGCGAAGACUCCAUAAGGAUCUUCAGCGAGGCGGUGAAGUAUCGGUAGAGCAAACGCCGCCGUUUUACCACUACCAGUCUGAGCAAGCCCUAAAACGUCUCGCCCGGCCAAUAUCUUGGGCACGCAGUGAGUUUGAACUGGAGUGGGUUUACGCAUCCCAAGCUCUUUACACGUUUCCACUGCCCACUCAGCUAAUCCGAGCCCUUCGAAAUUAGCGACGGGACUAGGGUUGGGAUUUGUGAAUUUCUCAAAUUGAGGAGCAUUCUGGUCGGAAUCAAGUUUCUGAGACUGAAUUUGUACUACGGUUUUAGGAUUUUUGCGGGAUUUCGCCAUGAUUGUGAUUCCCCCUUCAUCCUCCGAUCUCGGUUCCUCCAUUCUCUUUGAAUCAGAAGAGAAAGAAAGUGAAGAAAUUGAUUCGGAGUUAUCGCCGGAAAAAUACGUUCGUUAGCCGCUGUUCUUAGAUUGUUCUGGAGAUGAUGUAUACACGCGUAAACUAGGGGAGUUCAAAUCCGGUUUAGCCAAACCUAAAUAAUAAACCGGAAAAUUAAACGAACCGAAGAUUUAAGCUUUUUCUAUCCCAUUUUAAUUUCGCGGUUUAUUUAGAAGAUUUGCUAACUUUGUUUGUACGAUGUUUUGCCUAUUUGAAGAUUGUUGUUACUCUUUUGAAAGAACCAGUAUGUAGUCAUUUGUUAAAUUUUCUACACAGUUAAUCAUUCAUCGUACAAACAAAAAAAGGACACGGAAAUUUAAAGACAAAAACAGAAACCGCAGAAAGGAAAUCUUGUGAUACAAACACACACGAAACCAAAGCUAAAUUCUUUAAUCUUCAUCAUAUGUGUAUUAAUAAACGUUGUCUCAUAGGAUAAUGCAGCUUCCUGAAUCCCUGAUGAGGAAACAGAGCCAUCAAAACCAAUCAUAAGUCAGAUUUGUUUUCUAUCAUAAAGUAAAAUGAAAUAGUUGCGGUUAUGCACAAUGAUACCUCUUCGACACUUCAUAGUAACUCAGAGCUUGCUCGAACUUGAGCCAGAGUGGACAUGAUGCCUCAAGAUCGACGUGGUCAGGACCGUUGAUAUAAGCUUGGACAAUGAAUUGAUUACUUCUCUGACUGCGUAUCACAUUGUUUGAAUCAGAUUGAUUAUGUUUUGACUAAGAUCUUGAUUGCAAAAUCAGGAUUUAUAAGUAGAGAGUUGGAGUUGGAAGCAUACCUUCCUUCAUAUUCCGAUAACCAAACCAAAUAGGCUACACCGAAGUACAUAGAGACAAAUGGUUUGGUCAAAUCGUCUGCUGAAUCGACUCUGUAUGCACGGUAUCCUAGCUCCCUUUAUUCAGAAAAACAGCCCCAUUUGGAUUUGAUAUAUGGUUUAAGACUUUAUAAUGCAAACUAUAGAAUAGAGAAACGAAGUUUGGUCACAAACUUACGAGUAUAACCAGGAAGCGGUUGAGUAGUCCACUCCGAGUAUACCUACAUGUUUCUUAGUACCGUUCACAAACCGCAUGCACACAGUAUCAGCAAUCGCACAAACAAGAGGCUGCAUCAGUGAUAUGGAACAUAUUUAUCAGAAUAGCAUAUGAAUAGACCCAAAAAGAUGCCCAAUAUAAGUUUCCUCAGCAAGUGAUAAUUAACAGAAAUGCACACUUACAACUCUAAUUCCUUUCGUGCUGAAGUACUUCGAAACAAUUAUUUCUGCAACAGCCUGAAAUAGAAAAUAUAGCAUUACUUUGAAGGCAACAUGGUGAGAACAAUGUUGGUUAUUUGUUCUGUAAAAGUGCUCAAUUAAAAGACAGACAGUACCUUAAGUUCCCCUCGAGAAAGGUAAGGCCUCUUUUCACCAUCUUGUGAAAAACGAACCUUUCCCCUUUCUUCUUUAGAUUUUGUCCACUCUUUACAUACUUCAGAAUGAUUCCACAUAUCUUCCAUAUCUUCAGGGGAAGCCCGAGAGUCCCAGUAUGUGAAAUUGGUGUCUGUUCAACCAGAGAGUAUAUUUCAUAUCAAAACUUAAAAGAGAAUGAUAGAGGUUCUCCAAAUAUGAGCAUACAGCUAAAGCAUUGGCACAUUGCACCAUGAUAUCCUAAUAUUUCUAGAGAUCUUAAUAUGUUUGACAUAGGUGCAUGUGUAUAAACGUAGAAACAUUAUUAUUUGAUACAGAACGAUAAAAAAAGAGGGAGAGAUUACUUGAGCCUGGUGAAGCGGGAUUCGUAGGAUGAAAGCUUGAAGGGCCAGCAUCGACAUGUUUUCUGCAACAACAAUUACCAAAGAGUUUUAGCUUCGCUUCUCUCAGCUUCUUUAUUAUAACUAUGAACAAAAAUAACAAUAUGAAAGCAUACGGUAACACAAAACCUUUUCCUUGAAACCAAGCAUAAAAUAUGACAGCAGAAACUAGGUACAAAGAGCAAUCAGAGAACAGAAACAACAACCUUGAAGGGAGACUUUCUUUCACUGCAAGGUAUCGUUUCCAAUAUGGCAAUGUCGACUUGUGAGUCGCCUUUUUUGUCCCACCAUUAUAUGCUCUGACAACAAACUCUUCACUUCUCUGGCUGCACACGAAAAGUUAAAAAUAUUGAAGUAAUUCCAGGAGGAAUUUAGACUUGUCGUCAUUGAAAUUGUAAAGGUAGCAAUGUCAGCUUAGGGACAAUAUAUCAUACUUAUUCUGAUAGUCUGUUAACCAUUUCAGGUAAGCUGCCCCAAAAUAUACAUUUAUAAAGGGCUUGUGAAGAAGAUCAGGAUUGUCAUCCACAUUAUAUGCCUGAUAGCCCUGGCCCCUGCAAGAAAGUUUGACCAAAACCGGAAUAUAAGAUUUUAUAAAUCUAAGAUCUUCUUGGAAAGGAGAGAAACUAGAAAUCGUUUUGUACCCAGCCAACCACGCUGCUGUCUUUUCGAAAACUUGUAAAAUUCCUAGGCCAGUUUCUUUGGUCUUUUUGUUGUACCUCAUAAUGAGAGGCUUGCGGUCACUUUCAAGCUCAGCAAUUGCGCAUAUCAUUUCCUGCAGAGGAAGAGGGAGAUGCAAAACUUCAAGAUCAGAAAGGGCAUAGAUGCAUGAUUUCAAUAACCUAAAAGAGUAGCUAAAACCAAGCUCAAAAGUGUUAGUUUUCUAAAGAACUGCCCACUUUGAAAAAUAAUGCUCUGAGUAAUUAUUACAGACCAACAAUCGAACAUGAAACUAUCAAUGAUGGGUGAAAAUGAAGCAUUACCAAAUCCAAGAUCGAAUCAAAAUGCCUCCGGACAGUAAUAUCAGCAACAGCCUGAGAAGGUAAGGGGUUGAUCAAUAAGUAGGCAGAAAGAAAGGUCUAACUAGGAUUCACGAAAGCCACAUCAAUCUUGUAUUGAAAUGUUUGAAAUCAAACGAAAACCAUCCGCAAUUUCUGUCAAACAUACAAGGAACUUUAUGUGAUUACCCUCAUCUCGGUCUGUGUAAGAUAAGGCUGUCCAUCAGGAUCCCUUGAAAGGUGAACCUUCUGGCCUUUAGUCUCUCCAACAUCAAUCCAUUCAGCACUGACCGCAGGAUCCAUCCACAUUUCUUCUAAAUCCUCUGGCUCAACACAAUCAUUCCAGAACGUGAAACUGUUGGCCAUUCUUGCAUUGCUAUACGACCUUUCCAUUGGCAUCUAUCACAAAGAAAAAUAAAAAGAGAGAAUUUACACGGAAGCAAUUAGAGAUUUCACAAGCACGACUAGCUAAUGGAAAGAGAGCAAUCUGAUGGAAGAAACAAGAGAAAAGCAAGUGGAAAUAGAAGACACAUCGUUUACAACAUCCAUAAGUAACAUGUUUGCCAAAGUUAAAGAAGAAAAUCGAAUUCUACACAUCAAAUACGAAGACGAAUCAACCGAUCCCGGAGAAGUCAUUCAGAAAAUCAAUCGGAAAACUAGGUAGUAGCAUGUCAACAUUGCUCAAACAAACUAAAACAAAGAGAAAUUUCGUGUGUAUGAGAGACCUUGCCGAAGGCAAAAAGCGCGAAGGACGAGAGGAGCAGAGGAACAAGGUUUCUCGGCGAAUCAGAGAGAAGAAGAAGAUGAAGAUUCAAAUUAAUCUCUGGGAAAUUCUAGAGAUACAGAGAAACCGACGGUUCGCCAUUUUUGACGGGAGAGCCAGAAAAGCAAAUUAAUCACACAGAGGGGACUGUGAGACGAGCCAGCUGCAGGAACAGCGAAGAAAAUGCCACGUGGCGUAUCGGAGCUGGCUCAGCCUCGUCGUCGUUUUAACAGUACAGUAGCCAUUUUUGGAGGGAGAGCCAGCUGGACUUGCCACCUGUCAAACUAGAUCAGGCCCAUUUUAUUUUGACGUGGCAAAACUUUACGUAACUCAAUAAACGACAAAAGAUACGUCAACGUUGUUCAAAUAUGACCGAAGGCCCACCAAAUCAUGGGCCUUGACGCUGAUCCCGUACACGCGGCUUUGUAGUUUUCCUCCGAGAAAUCUCAACCGUUAGAUCUCAUCGCAAAAGUAGGCUGCGACGCAUCGGAACACAGUCAUCGUCUUUGCAGAGUCGUAAGCAUGAAAAUAUUCUUCAAAAAUGAACUAAACAGUGUGCAGUUGCAAUUUGCAAUUUGCAAUUUUUAACUCAACAGAACAUUUUCUUGGCUCCACAGCUACACUCAAAAGCCAUUCAGCGGAAGGUUUUUGGCGGCGAGAUCUCUCUGUAUCUGGUAGCUUAGCUAUGGCCUUCUCUUCUCUCCUCAGAUCCGCCGCCACUUCCGCCGCAGCUCCUCGUUUCCAGCUUUAUCCAUCGUCAUCGUACGAUCAUUCUCAGGUAUUAAACGUUUUCGUUUUCUCUCUCUUGGGUUUAGCUUUGAAUUUUGAUCUGCUUCGCUUUUGUAUGUCCGUGUCGCCUGGAGUUUUAGUAGAUAGUAAGGAGGUGAUGUCUUGUUUUUGGUUCUGGUUUCAAUUUCUCAGUGUAAAGUCAACUCGUUGUUUUCUAUUUUAUCGCUAUCUUCUCUACUUGCGUCCUCACUUGUCGUUGAAAUAUUGAAUUCCUAGUCGUUUGCCCUGAGUUAUUAUUUGAUUGAGAAGCUGAAUCGAUGAUAGGAAGCAUUAAAGUUUCAGUGGGUUUAUUAUAUCUUUUGUCUCAUAUGAUCAGGUCACGUCAAGUCUUGGAUUCACUCACAACCUGGCCUCGUCUAGAUUUUCUGGUGCUGCAGUUUCAACUGGGUCAUCUUCAACUUUACAGUUCUGUGACAAACUCUGUAGUACAUGUAAAUUUCUUACGAUGCUUGCCUUGGUUCCUAACGAUGUUUUAUGUUCUAAUGUACAGAAAAUGCAAUGCGAAGAGCGUUCAACCCAUCAAGGCCACAGCUACAGAAGCACCUCCUAUUGUUCAUAGUAAGUAAAAAAAAUUAAUUGAUAUUCUUACCUGUGUUUGUUGCUGCACUCUUACAGCUAACUUUGAUUUGGUUGACUUGUAUAGGGUCAAGGAGCAGUGGAAAGACAAAGGUUGGGAUCAACGGUAUGUUUUUUUUCUUUCCAUUGUUGGAUUCAUUGUGAAAUUCAACAUCAUAAGAUAGUCUCUAUGCCUUCAUUCCUUCUGACAUGCUUCUAGUUCUCUACAUUUUCAUUUCUUAUUGAUGGUUGUAUUUUUAUGUGCGGGACAGGUUUUGGUCGAAUUGGAAGGUUGGUCCUCCGCAUCGCUACCUUUAGGGAUGAUAUUGAGGUUGUAGCAGUCAACGAUCCAUUCAUAGACGCCAAGUACAUGGUAAGGAUGAUGACUAUCUUAUCCAGUAGUAGAUGCAACUUACAAUGCCAUUUUGCUCUUACUAUUUUUAAGUCUAUUUUUAGCCAGGAAUUUCUAUAACUGUUUCUUAUGCUCUCUUCCCAUUUAGUUUCCCUUACUCAUAGUAACUGUUCCGCGUGCUUGAACCCAUAUAGUAAUCGUAUUAAGAGGCAUGGAUAUAUCAAACUAAAAGCAAUUCUUCUCUCCCCUCUUCUGCAGGCUUACAUGUUCAAGUAUGAUUCUACUCAUGGAAAUUACAAAGGAACCAUCAAUGUAAUUGAUGAUUCUACUUUGGAGAUCAAUGGAAAACAGGUCAAAGUUGUCAGCAAGAGGUAUUGCCUCAAAAUGUUGACUCAUGUGUAUCCGUCUAGUAUUGUCAAAUUAGGAAUCAAUAUCCAUGAUUUUCCUAUUGGUAGGGUAUAAAGCUUAUCCUUUUAGAGUCUGACAUCUUAUUGAUUCUUCCUCAGAGACCCAGCUGAAAUCCCGUGGGCUGAUCUUGGAGCUGAGUAUGUUGUUGAGUCUUCGGGGGUAUUCACCACCGUUGGACAAGCUUCAUCACAUUUGAAGGUUUGCACUUUCACCUGAACACACUUGUUGAUCUACUAGUUCCAUUGAUGUUAACAUUUAAUAGCAGGCCUUAUAUUUUUAAUUCAAACAAUCAUCUGCUAAAAUGGUCUAUGGUUUUCUUGACCUUUCAUUGUCUCUGCAGGGUGGCGCCAAGAAAGUCAUCAUUUCUGCACCUUCAGCGGACGCGCCCAUGUUCGUUGUUGGAGUAAAUGAGAAGACAUACCAACCUAACAUGGAUAUAGUCUCCAAUGCAAGCUGUACCACCAAUUGUCUUGCACCUCUUGCCAAGGUUUGUAACAUUGCAUUUUUGUCCUAUAUAUAGCUUGUUAUGUAGAACUUCAUUAAGGUCAAAUAAAAUUGUCUAUGGCCCUUAACCACUUGUAUCUGGUAGGUGGUGCAUGAGGAAUUUGGAAUUCUUGAAGGCUUGAUGACAACAGUCCACGCGACCACAGGUCUUUGAUUCUUGUGCCCUCUUGUUAUAUGUCACUGUAAAUCACUGAACUGACGAGACUAAAUGAUGUGUUUUGUUUAUCUUCGCAUUUGAAUAUUCAGCUACUCAGAAAACUGUGGACGGCCCAUCAAUGAAGGACUGGAGAGGAGGCAGAGGCGCUAGUCAAAACAUCAUUCCUAGCUCAACCGGCGCUGCAAAGGUACGCAAAAUCAUACAGUUAUAUACAAAGCAUCGCAUCUGGAAUCAUAUUUAAGCCAUGCCUUUUUUUUCUUGUCUAAAUAGGCUGUUGGUAAGUUCCUUCCGGAACUCAAUGGAAAACUAACGGGAAUGGCCUUCCGUGUCCCAACACCAAAUGUUUCUGUUGUGGAUUUAACUUGUCGACUUGAGAAGGAUGCAUCUUAUGAAGACGUUAAGGCAGCCAUAAAGUAUUACUCUCAAAACUCUGUUCAACUAAUUUCCCGUAACAUUCUCUAUAUAUGAAUAAAACAUGGAACUUGUAAUAACCUCUCAUGAAUUUGAUUUAAAAUCUCUAACAGGUUUGCAUCAGAAGGACCACUUAGGGGCAUUCUUGGAUAUACAGAAGAAGAUGUCGUCUCUAAUGAUUUUCUUGGAGAUUCAAGGUAUGUCACUCUUAAAUCUUGUAGCGGAUCAUUUAAAAUCUAGUGUUGGUUCUCAAAUGUUGUGGUCAUUGUCAAAAAAUUUCAGGUCAAGUAUCUUUGAUGCUAAUGCUGGGAUUGGAUUAAGCAAGUCCUUCAUGAAACUUGUCUCCUGGUAUGACAACGAAUGGGGUUACAGGUAACAGUUACUCUCUCUCGGUUCUUUACCAUCACAUUGCCAUUUGACAAUACCCAAAUACUAAAAUAUGUGUGGGUCUUGUAAUGUCACAGUAACCGAGUCCUUGACCUGAUAGAGCACAUGGCGUUAGUUGCAGCCAGCUGCUAAACCAUGCCGCUUUCUUGCAGAAGCCAAUGCAAAUUUUUUGUUAUACUAACUACUAAGAAAUAUUGUUCGUUACUUCGAGAGAAAGAUGUUCCUUAAAAAAAAAAAAUAGCUAAGUAAAAAGAUUGGUUUUCAAAGAUUGGAAUUUUCCGGUUAGCUUCAAUAACUCAUCUCUACGUUAUGAAUUAUUCGAAAUUGUGACAGUGAACCAUCCAUGACCAUGACUCCAUGAUGGUUAGCAAAGUGUCAUUAAGGACUUACGACAAUUAUCAUGUAAGCGAGGUUAUUGGUUAACUUUGCACAACGUAAUAUAUGAUGAAAUAGUGACGUGACAUCCACUUUUAGGCAAAAUUAUCUGAUACUCCGAUAUAGGAAUUUGUUAAUUAAUAACACGAUGCAACAUAUCUAAAAAAAAAACCACUCAGAGAAAAUGCUCGUAUAAAGAGGAAAAGUGUGAGUAAACAAAAGGCACAAGGGGACAAAAGCAUUUUUGCAAUCGUGGGAAACCACUUUGAUCUAAACAAAUGUGGACGUAUUAUUUAAUCAUUCCUUAUCAUAAUCCAAAAUGUUAAUAAAAACAUAUCUUGAUAUAACGUGGCCGUAUAGAAAACCUUUUAAGAUGAAGGAAAGAGUAAUGUAAAAGAAUUGGUAUACAUACUCCUUGUGAUUUUAGACCACGCCUUUUUGCAUCACUAGUGAGUAAUGACCACCUACUUCGCCAACUCAACAACAUAUACGAAUACUUAUUUAAAUGGUUUUUUCCGAUUAUGUGCACAUUUUUAAAAACAGAAGACAAAUGUAUUUCGUGUACCUAUCUUGAAUAAAUACCAUGUUCCUUAACAAAUUUAAAAAUGAAAAUAUCAUACAUGGUAUUAUACCCAUUCAACACAGCUAAAUUUUCUAACUAAAGUAUGUGAUUAUAAUAUUGACUAAGAGGGGUUAUAACUUUCCGGCGUUUUUGUUAGUAAAUGUUAACAAGAUUAUUUCUUCCUUGUAAAAAAGGAAUGAAUUAUUCAAAAUAAAAUAUUUUUGCAUUUGACAUUUUUGUUUUCCAAGAGUUUUGUGUGUGACUCAUAUGCGGCUUAACUCCUCCUAUAUUUUCUUCAAACAAGCAACAUUGUUUUUGUUUCUCUCUCUCUUUCUCUUUCUCACAACUUCCCUAGAAACACUUUUUUCGGAAUUCGAACGCAGAGAGAUCGGAUAAUGGCGACGGAGCAUAUAGUCCGUACGAAAGACGAAUACAAUGUCGAGCUUUUACCUAGUGACGACGAUGCGCCGCCGCUUCAAUCGUCUUGGCGUCUCAACCUCGAAGCUUUUCAACUUCCUUCUUCACCACCUUCCUCCAUCGGUGGCCGUCACGACGCUCGUACUCGCUUUUCUCGCUAUUUCCGUACUCCCAGUAAGACUCCUUCCAUCAUGUUUUCGUUUUUUUUUUUUUUUUUUUUGUGAUCUGUGCUCAAUCCGUAAAGUGUCGAUGUCUAUAGACGUGUACGUAACAUGAUCAUCGACCAUGCCUUUUGAAUUGUGUACGAAAACAGAGAAAAAGUGAUUAUGCAAAUGUGUAAUUGUUGAAACUUGUUCGGAAAAAUAAAGUUUCGAAAUUAACCGAAAUCGCUUCAAGUAUAAAUUAAGAGUAAAUGAUACUCUCUGUUUAAAACCCUUUCUAUUGAUUUGAUUCAAGCGAGUAUUUAACUUUUUUCUUUUUGUUGAUUCAAAGUUAUUAAGCUUUUGAUGGAAUCUUAAGCUUCUCUUUUAGAAUUUGUAUAUGCCAGAUUCUCUGUUUUAAAAUUAUGUGGAUACUGAAUGAUUACUGAAUCAGAUUAACCUCAGAUGUUUUAAGGCGUUUUAGAGUGAUUGAGAAACUGGUAAACCCAUCAAGGUCGACUAACACAUUGUUAAAUCUUGAAAAAGGGUUUUAACUUUGAACCCUCCUCUCUGCUGUCUUAAUGCAGGAAAGGAACGUAGAGUCUCUGAAUACUACAAGAAGCAAGAGAGGCUCCUCGAGGGUUUCAAUGAGAUGGAGACUAUCCACGAAACUGGUUUUGCAUCUGGUGUUCCAACUGAGGUCUGCCCUCUACUAUUUUUCUUAUGGUAUGUCUCUUUGAGAUGAAUCCUCAAUCUUUCUUGGUUUCAACAGGAAGAAAUGAAGAAGCUUGCAAAGAGUGAGAGGCUGGCAGUUCACAUAUCGAACGCAACAAAUUUGGUGCUUUUUGUGGCAAAAGUUUAUGCCUCUAUGGAAAGUAGAUCCAUGGCUGUGAUUGCUUCAACUUUGGACUCUCUCUUGGAUCUCUUGUCUGGUUUUAUUCUCUGGUUUACAGCUAAUGCCAUGAGAAAACCAAACCAGUUUCACUAUCCUAUCGGAAAGCGCCGGAUGCAACCUGUGGUAUGUUUCUUUUGUUUUUAUCUAUUAACCCCUUUGUUUGGUUUUUGUUCUGAUUCCUCUCUGAUCAGUUUCUUCUACGAACUUACUUGUCUCCCAAGAAAAUAGAACUGAUAAUGUAAAUUUACAGGGCAUCAUUGUGUUUGCUUCGGUGAUGGCAACUCUUGGACUGCAAGUUUUACUAGAGUCAGGAAGGCAACUAGUUGCCAAGGUACAUUACUUUUUUUCAGGUAACUGCUUUCAUCGGUUAUUUGAUGUAUGUAACCAAUUCUGUUUUUGUUACAGAGUGGUAUUCAUAUGAAUAGCACAGAGGAGAAAUGGAUGAUCGGGAUCAUGGUCUCUGUCACCAUUGUGAAGUUUCUUCUAAUGCUAUAUUGCAGAGGAUUUCAGAACGAAAUCGUUAGGGCCUAUGCUCAGGAUCACCUCUUUGACGUUGUCACUAAUUCAAUCGGCUUAGCAACAGCUGUCUUGGCCGUCAAAUUCUACUGGUGGAUUGAUCCCUCCGGUGCUAUACUUGUAAGUAACUCAGGAAUCUAAAAUGAUCAAGAAAUGUCUCAUGGGAUUUGACAAACGUUUUUUUUUUUUUUUUGUCUUUUUAAUGGUUGCAGAUUGCUUUGUACACCAUAGCAACAUGGGCAAGAACGGUACUAGAGAACGUCCAUUCGCUGAUCGGACGCUCUGCGCCGCCAGAGUUCUUGGCGAAACUGACAUUCUUGAUAUGGAACCAUCACGAACAAAUCAAGCAUAUUGACACAGUAAGGGCUUACACUUUUGGGUCACACUACUUUGUGGAAGUAGACAUUGUUUUGCCAGAGGACAUGAGACUACAAGAGGCUCACAACAUCGGAGAGACUCUUCAGGAGAAGCUCGAGCAGCUUGCUGAAGUAGAACGAGCUUUUGUCCACAUAGACUUUGAGUUCACUCAUCGUCCUGAACACAAGUGUAACUAGAUUUUUAAGUAAAUCUUGUAGGGUAUAAUUAGUUCUUUAGUUUAUGUAUUCUUCGUGUCGUUUUAUCUAUACAUAUACAGUAGUAGAUGGAAAUCGAAAUGUGUCGUUGAACGUUGUGCCGUCUCUGUUUAUGGAAUGCGCAUUGUGUGUCGUUUGAAGCUAAUUGACGACAUUAAUAUCGUUUCAUUCACCUGUGUGUCGUUUGAAGCUAAACUCAAAAUAAAGAUAAAAUCAUAAAAAAAUAAUGGGUUUUAAAUUAAAACCACUCAAAACUAAAAGUUGGUUUAUCUAUCUUCCGACAAAGUUCCGUGCUUGAUUGCUCUUACUCCACGAGACAAUUUCUCUGGCUCAGAAUCGUCGCCAUGAAAAUGUAAGAAGAAACAAAGACGAGCUCUCAAAUCCAGCAGCCAUGGCUUUUCUUCUUCCUAAUCUAUCGUCUCCCUCAAUCCAUCUUCAGACCGGAAAAUACCCAAACCAUAAACCCAUUUUCAGUCAAUCUCUAUCGUCGUCGUCGUCUUCUGUUAGCUACGAAUUCGUGGAAGAUAAUAUAUCGACACACUCUCUUUUGAGCAUCCAGUCUCCUCCUCUUAAAGACACGCAGGUUCAGACAAGACACAGUUCGCAAGAUAAGCAUAAUAACCACGACAGAGAUGAAUUCUAUAUCAAUCUUGGUGUCGCUGUCCGUACGCUUCGCGAAGAUUUGCCUUUGCUCUUCACUAGAGAUCUUAAUUACGACAUCUACAGGUAAAUUUCCUCAUUUGGGUAUUUGAUAAUUGAAUGAUAAUGGGUGAAAGGAAGAAUCUUUGGAUGCUAUCUUCAGAAUUUUAUCAUUUGAUUGUGAAUGUUUCUCCGAGAAUUCAAUUCAGAAUCUUUGUUUGUUUGACAGGGAUGAUAUAACAUUUGUGGAUCCGAUGAACACAUUCAGUGGGAUUGACAACUACAAAUUGAUCUUCUGGGCGCUCAGAUUUCAUGGGAAGAUAUUGUUCAGGGAUAUCUCACUUGAGAUCUUCAGGGUAUGGCAACCAUCAGAGAACAUGAUUCUCAUCAGGUGGAAUCUCAAGGGUGUGCCUAGAGUUCCAUGGGAAGCUAAAGGAGAGUUUCAAGGCACUUCUCGGUAUAAACUCGACCGUAAUGGCAAAAUCUAUGAGCAUAAAGUCGAUAACUUGGCCUUCAAUUUCCCUCAACAGCUCAAACCCGCAGCUUCGGUUUUGGAUUUGGUGACUGCUUCUCCUGCAAGUAGUCCCAAUCCAACGUUCUUUUUCAGUCCUGUGGACUCUUAUUCAUCUUCAUGGAUUAGGUUUUAUCAAGUGGUGAGAGGGACAUUGGAGACAGAGGAUAUCUUUGUGACAGACAGUUUACUCACAUGCACAUAGUGGAAGUAGAGUUGUUAUACACAUACUCAAGGUCACACUUCUCAGGUGUAUAUAGUUUUACAUUGAAGGUUUUAUAUAUAUGAGUAGAUCUGGUUGAUUUAAUUCUUGGGAAACCUAGAACUGUUAUGUUGUUCCAAAAGCUUUAUACAACGUAAUCAAUACAAUGGAGUUUUGUCUUUAUGAUUAUGUGAAACAGUAAUAUUACUCAGUGGUUAAACUCACAGAAACAAAACAACACACCUAAUUAAGAAUCACCAUUAGCCUGAGUUUUCUUAAUAUCCGGCUAGAGUCCAUGUAGAUGCUGUAUCUCCCUGCAAUUUCCAAGUAAGAAUGAACAAGAUCAGUUAAAUAGAGAAAGCGAACAGAAAACAAGUUUCCAGCUACAUGAACAUAUGUAUAGAUAUACACCUUUAGACUGGUGAGGCAUGCCAGGACUUUUGUAGAGUUCAACUUAGAGAGGGAGUUUAUCCAAGGGUUUCAAGACUGCGACAUUACUGUGAUCUGGAUUCAUGUACUUCUCAUAAGUGACCCUCAGUUUUCCUGUUUUAGCAGCUUUGUGAAACCUUAAGACCAUGUCAGAACAAUCCCUGUGAUAAGAAAAUUGUGUACGAUUAGUUACAGAAUCUAAUUAGUCUAAGUGAUCUACAAGGUGGAGUUAUUAAUGAGACUGUUACUUCAUCUGGGAGACAUUGUAGUGGGUAUGGUUGUUUAGGAGCGAGGUCCAAACUGGAGUCAUAUGCAAAGUGCAUCGGGCAACAUAUAUGGCUGAUGCACAUAGCAAUGAUGGCUUAUACUUCAAAGCUUCGUACUCCACCAAGCACAACUCGAUAAGGUAGAAGGCGAGUUGUUCAAGCUGAAAAAAUUAAUAAUAGUAUUCAAUGACUACCUAUUCAAGCAGGUUAAUUUUAUAGGAUAUAAAGCAUUCAGAUGCAAGUUUUUCGCGUACCUUCUUAUUUGAUUGAGCAGCUUUGAGGAACCUCAACAUGAAAACAUAGGGGGUGGGUGCAUUCAAACGGAACUUUAACUGUUUAAGCAUAAUCCUCUCCUGAAAAGAAAAAAAGAAGAUAAAUUACAAGGGUAAAUAUGCAAACGACCAGAGAUUGUUAAAAAGAAUAAAGAAGUUGACUAUAAACAGAGUUCGUUAUAUACCAUUCCCAAGAUUUGUUCUCUGCUGUAUGAUUCUGCGGAUAUGCUAAUCAAGUCUUUGAUCUGUACAUGGACAAAGAAAAUAGAUUCUAAAAGUUUAAGGGUGACGCUAUAUGGAGCUAAGCAGAGGUAUUAGCUUUCAGGAUAAUUGUCUCUUACCCUAGGAUGCCAAUAGUCCUCAUAUUUAGAUGCCAAUAAGAGUGCAGUAAGACCAAUCAAUUGCAUCUCAUUUUUAUGUAUUGGAACUUGGGAGAGGUAACGGUCUAAUAAGUCCAUUGUCAGGUAGAGAGUCUCAUGCAUUAGAUCAAAUUUGAAAUGAACCUGCAAACAAAUAAGUAAAACCGAGAUAUAGGUUUCCACAUGGAGAAGCAAAACUUUGAGUAGGGAAAUAUCAAGUUGAAAUGGAAACAAAAAAUUUACUGCACUCACUUCGAUAAGCCAGUUGAUCAAAAUUCCACGCGUAACUGGACUGACUUCUGCAUGAGCUGACAAGUAGUAUCCCAAAGCUGGAUUUAACGCCUGCAACAAUAUUUCACACUAAGCUAUUGGAAAGCUAAAAUUCAAUAUUCAAAGCUAUAAGGAAAAAGAAAAAAUGAAUAUAAGGGAAAGUGAAGUUGUAUGUAUGUGGAAUAAUAAGUGGAAUACCUCUGCAGUCCAAUAGAACUGAUAUAUGUCAUCCACAUAUUCUGCAACUUCCAACUGAUUGGAUUCAUCAUCAAUGUUUGGAAGUUUCUCUGCCUCUGUGGUUUCACCAUUUUUCUCAUCCAACUGCAAGUAAAUUACCAAAUUAGUAAUAUUGGAGAAAAAGAAGUCACAAGAAACACAACAAAUCAUAAAAUUACGAACCUUUGAUCCAUUUACUAGUAGAGAUGUGAAAGACUUUCUACGCUUUGAUUUUGGCUUCGCUGCAACAUCCAACACUUUUGUUGUUGGGUCUUUGUUUCUACUAGAUGAACUCUCUCCUUGAGUGUCUUCUUCGAGACAUUUUGUUUCAACCUUUUUCGGAAGUGACAGCGUUAAGGCAACUAUUUCAGAAGAAGGGAUUGAAGAAAUAGAUCUUGAUUUACUUCUACCCACUGGGGGCUUCUUAAGAGAACUACGGUUUUGUAGCGACGUCUUUACAGUUGUCUGGAUCUUGAAUAAGAGAGAAAGCUUAUCACAUAUUUAAUAAACAAAAAACCUCAAUGUGACUGUAACUAUUGCCAGAUGAAAUGAACUGAUUUAGCAGUUCAAUGAUGAUAAUAGCCAAGGCCAAAACAUUUUUGAGAGACUUCAAAUAGUGUGGCUAUAAUGGAAAUAAACCACUUGCAUGCAAAGAUACGAAACUAAAGGUAUAUACCUUGAUAGAUUUCCUUACGAUACGGACGUUAUUCUUACUCUGUCUGUUGCGGUCCCUGAACAUGCAAAGAAAAUAAACUUCGCAAGUUAUAUCUCAAGUUGCUGCCCACAAACGAUAAAAGAAAAAAUAAUCUGGUUCUCGAAGAUGUAAAAAAGUCGUACAUUGAAUCAUUGAUAAUGAAAAUGCAAACAAGGAUUCUAUGAAUUUAGACAAUUUGAUAGUUGGAAGAAGACAUGUGUGAUGUGCAAGAGAGAAACAACUUCAUUUCUUUAAUGAUGAUAUCAGAAUUAAGCACAUUUACUUACGAUGGUAUAGAGCCGACGCUUGUCCGAGUUUUCAAAGUAUAGGUUCCGGCACUCCUCAGCUGUGGGACAGCUUUAUUGCUGACUUUACUAGCUGAAACAAUGCAACCUCACUCAUAUUAGAUACUGAACCAAUCAAAUUAAAAUUUUAAACAUACAUAUUUCCAUCAGAAGUUUAGAAAAGAAAUCCAUGUUACCUAGACCCUGACCCAAUUGUUUUGAAUUUAAGCUUGAGACAUUGAACUGCGUCAAAAUAGUAAAAAUCAGGGUAAAAAACAGUGAGUAGAGAAAUACACAAUUAAGUAAACUAUCCUAAAUGAUUAGCGUCACGAGUUGUUGUAAAACCAGCUAACUAUAAGACAAAAACAUCUCAAAUUAGAUUGAUAACAACCUUUUUUAAGCUCUUAUCAGUGAGGCUUGUUCUCUUUAAAGUUGGUAAGGAAUUUCUGCAAGAACAAAUCAAUCAAGGAAGUUAAUCAAUGAAUGAUGUAAAAUCAUUCUCAGCAGAUACUAACGUAGGUUACGUGAUGAGAGCUUUGACAUAUUGAUAGGGAAUGUAGGGCAUAAACAAAAUAUCUAUUUUUGUUUUUUUUUGGAAAAUUCUUCAAACUGGUCAGGAAGCUGAUAAUCAAUCUAUUAUGCAUGAGAUUAGCACAAAGGUACCUUGUUCCACCAGCCGUUGAUCCAAGGCUCAGGGUUUUGUUUAUGAUGAAUUUCUGACCUAAAAUAUGAUUUAAAACUUCCGAAUUUUAGAUAAACGGUAAAGAUCAACUAAAGCCAUAGACAUGAAAACAAACAUAACAUUUAGGAAGUCACCUGUCUUGCAAGGGUUAUUGUUUUCAAGUUCGGUUGUUCUUUUACUCUCAAGCUCCUAUAUCAGAAGAAAAAUAAAACAAUAAUCAAGGCUUGCGAGAAAGAAGAAGGAAAUGGCCAUCGAGUUGUUUAACUAAUUAAAAUCCCAUGCUUUAAGACACAUACAACGUUUGUGAUAUUUGCUGUAACUCACAUGCAGACAGAUAAAUUGUGAUAUUCUGGUUAAUCUCAAAACUGCAUCUAGUCAUAGAAAUUUGCAAGUAUACAACAUGAUAUAGUUUGGCAAUACGGUUACUAUACCUUGGUUGACUUUUUCACAGAAAUAUUAUUAACUCUGGUUGAACCAACUGAAAUCCUACACAUGUAAAGGUCAAAUUAGCCCAGCAUCAUCAACUCAUUGUCAAAAAUCAGGUAUAAUAUACAUGGAACUGUGAUUCGUUCUGUAAAAGCUCAUCGAUAUGUAACGAUAUUGUAUGUAUGUGACGUCUAUAGCAUCAGCUAACGAUUACUACAUACCUUUGUGAAUUUGCACAUUUUACACCUUUCCAUUUCCUGCAUGGUUGCAUGUUCAAUAGAAUAGUUUUAGAACAGAAAAAAAAUCAGUACAAUAAAAACUAACUAAGAAAUAUGUUUUCUAAACAUAAGAUCAGUUUGAUUAAGAAGUGAAGACCAUGGGCAGUUUAUCAUUUGUUUCCAAGAGAGAUCAUAAAAACCCUUAAGAGUUAAGCAAAUUACAUGGUACUGCUGCCACAAAGCGUUGGAAUCCUUAGAGGGUUCCCACCAAGAUUACUUAAAUCAGCCAAAGCUUUUCUUGUGACUUUAGUACAUUCCUCUGAAAGGAGGCAAAAAUUUGAGUUAACAUUCAAAACUACGUCCAGAAAAUGUAAUGAAGAAACUCUCCAGUAUAAGCUUACCCGCAUUUUCAAUACUGAUUUCGCCCUUUCCUGUGAUUCUCGAAUUUUCCUUCUUUUCAAUCAAAACAAAAAUGCAUUAGCAUGUGAAAAAGUGCAUAACAUUCAACACUUGUAUGAACUCAGAAAGAGGUAAAAGGAUAAACCUUCAUAUUGUUUGUGUUAGAAGCUGCUCCAUUGCUAAUUGUAACAGACUUUCUCCUAAAAAAUGUAAAAGCAGAAAACUAAUUUCUUACAGACUCGUAAAGUCUACUUCUUCAUGAUCAAGCCAAAUAUGCACCAGUAAAUUCAUCAUUUAAUAGACGUAUGUAAGAAACAGAAAAAUUGUAAAACAACAGCACAAACCUCAAAGGAAUACGAGUCUUCUGCGAAGUAACUCUGCAGAAAUAGCAACAGUUAAAUUCAGAUUAACAAAUGCAAUAGUACUGAAAGAUGAAUGUAAGAGAUGCACUUACACUGUACCCGCUGGAUCAGUUUUCUGAUUAUCAGAGAAGAUUUUGAAACUCCUAGGGCCCACUAUUUCAGAUAUAAACAUUUUUAGAUUUUGAAUUAUUUUUGCUUAAGACUGAAUAAGAUUCACCAAGUAACAGAGGAUAAAACAGUCUCCCUUACCUCGAUUUCCAAGAAUAUCAUCUCUACUUAGUCGUGGUGCCUACAAGAAAAAAUCAAUAGUAAGUGAAAUAAGAACUAAAGCUUUAUCACCUGUGAUUUUUUAAGAUUAUGUUGAUCAAAUUAAUCAAAUCUGAGAGUAGUAUAAGCCAAUGAAAUCACAAGAAUCCAAUCUUGUGGUAAAAGAAGCAGAAAUCGGCAAAAAUCAUAAUCUCUUCUAUCUGCAAAGAAAUUCAAGAUCCCUAAUCCUAAUCUCGUUUAAAAUAACAAGCCCUCGAAUCUCAAACUCAUCUGCGAUGAAACGUAAUAACUAAUAACCCUAACUCGUUUUUUGAACAAAAUCUUGAUGAAAUUAGGAUCUUCACGAAAAAUUCUUUACCUUUGCGAACGCCAUUAUCCUUAAAUCUCCAGAUCUUCUGCUUUGUUCUUCCCAGAAACUCAAUUGCAAGAGAGUUCUACCGUUGCAAAUUCCCAGACACUGAGCGACGCCGCUUCUCAAGUAUUUGAAAUUGAGCUUAUGGAAUUUACGUUUAUGGCCCUUCACUUCAUAGUUAUUUUCUAUUUUUGUUUGGGCUUGUUUAACCCAAGCCCAUUCGUUACCAACCUAGGGCAUAUCAGACCCAUCAACCUAUUAUUCGGAAAAAAAGAAUGAAAAAAACAUUGUUAUUUGCAUUUUGUUAUUGUGCAAGUGCAAUUAAUAAUGCAUUAUGUAAGAAGUUCAAAGAAAAGACUUAUAUAAGUUCAGGUAUAGAAACUGUAUUUUCUGUUGACAUAAAAAGUAAAUAAAUAAUUUAACUUCUAAUUGUUGUUUAUUUCUUCUCAAAUAAAAUAAAUAAAUAAAAGGGUAUCUAUAAUCUGUGACCAUAGAAGAAUGAAUAAUUAGUUCUCUCUUCGUUACUAUUUGGCAUUCACUGUCCAUAUGUAAAAUACAAUAUCACCCUUGAUUUAUUUAUUCAAUGUUUUAUCUCUCUUCUUCUAUUUCUUUCUUCUUCAAACACCAGAACACAACUUUAGUAAUGAAAAUUAAAUCAGACUUUUUUCUGCAGAGAACCGAAAAGCAAAACCAAUAAUUUGUGUGGUUCACCUAUGACAAUAGUGCUUUUGAUUUAGCGAUGAUGAAGAUAAGGGAAGUUUUUGUUUUGUGUUUUUGCGAAGGUUGGUUAAGUUUCUGCGAUAAAAAAUAAUGGUAAUUGAUGGUGGUUCUGAUUUGACGAUGAUGAGAUUUACCGGUGAUGAUGCUAACAAUGACAUUGUUGGUGGCGGUAAGUAUAGAAAAAAGAAGAUGAAAGAAGAACUGAGAAGGUGUGAUGGCUAAAAGUUGUAUUGUGGUGAUGAUGAUAAUAUCUGUUGCGGUAAUUACGGGGGAGAAAUGGAUGGUGUCGUGAAGUUAGAACAAACAGAGUGGUGGACUGAGACAGAUAUGAAAACUGAAUUUGUCAAUUGUAGUUUAGAUUAGGUUAAUCGAUGAAAAGAAAGGAAUCGUCGGCGUCAUUGGCACAUUUUUCUGGGUUUGAUUUUACUAUAGUUAUCGAUAAAUAGAGUAACAUCUGUUAUUUUUAUUGUUAUCAUGUUAACAUCGUUAUACACGUUAAUAUAAAUAUUAUCUAUAUAUCUACUAUCUUACCAUAAAUAUUUUCUAUGAUAAUAUAAACUUUAUCAUAUCAAUUACAAAGUUACCGCGAUACAAUAUGUUUAACACGAUAUAUUUAUAAACUUAUUGAUAUAUAUAUUUUGUUAUCGUGUUAAACCAAUAGAUAAUCAUUUAACUCAUUAGAUAUUCUUACUCAGAUAUUUGAUGGACAAUCUAUUUAAAAUCAAAUAAAAAACGUCGAUAACUAUUUUAUUAUAUUGUUAAUUAAUUUGUUAUAUGCGGAGGGGCAUUUUUGUCCAACUUACAGAAGUUGAGGAGAGAGAACUAAUAAUAUAAAAACUAUGGGUAUAUUUUUUAUUUUCUGGUCAAUUGUGGUUUAAUAUUUUGUUGACCCUAAAUAAAAACUCUGACAUUUGAUAUUAGGCAACAUCAGCUACUUUGAAAAUACAUUAGUAGCUGUGGAGAGAUGUAUUUUGCCAACUGCCAACUAGGCCUAGGCAUAUUACCCGAACCCGUAGAACCGAACCGAAUCCGACCCGAAAAACCCGAUCCGAAUCCAAAUCCGAAGUUUUAAAAUACCCGAACGGGUUCUAAACUUCACAACCCGAAAAUCCGAACCCGAACCCGAUCCGAACCCUAACCCGAACAAGUACAUGAACAUACCCGAAAUAUAAGUACAUAGAUUAUAAUAUAUUAGUAAUAUUUAUACUUGUAAAAAUUUAAGUGCCUAAAUUAUUUGGAUGCUAAGAAUUUUUGGGUGUUUUAGUUACUUUUGGCUAGAUUCGGUUAAAAAAUAUUUGGGUUUUAUAGAUUUUUGAGUAUUUUUCAAUACUUUGCAAAGAGUCGGAUACAAAAUUUUUAAUAUUUGGAUACUUCGGGUAAACCCGAAUCCGAACCCGAAAUAUCCGAUCCGAACCCGACCCGAACCCGAAGUUUUAAAAUACCCGAACGGGUCUUAGUUUUUUAUACCCGAAAAACCCGAACCCGAAAAACCCGACCCGAACCCGACCCGAAUAUCCGAACGCCCAGGCCUACUGCCAACAAACAAAUAAUGCUUAUUGCUCCGACAAGAUUGAAGUAUUAUCAAGAAGGUGUAGUUGCACCCAAAGUGACGUGCUCGACCUGCAAAAUGCAGAAAAGAAUCUGCAAAUGAUGAGAAAACGAAGAGAGUUCAUCAUUUCUAUCUUGAUCUAUCGGUCUCUCGCCUGGCUAAUACACCCUUUGAUUCUAAUCACGAUAAGGCGUGAGAUCGAUUUGGAACUGCUGUUUCCCCUUUGUGACACUCUGCAAAGAUGUCAUAAGGGCCAAUGUUACAACAAAUGGAAACAGAUUGAAAUUUUAUGGGAUAAUGUAAAGGGCUUACCGCGAUUGCAAUGAGCUCUUCUAGCAGUUCUUCUAGAUGACGCAGAGGCUGAACAGGAAGAAAAUAAAGAUGAUCGAGAAUGCAAAUGUACAUGGUCUGAAAAAAUUAAAACUCACCCAUUGUGUUGGACCAUCAACUGGUGCAUUCAAAGGAUCAUCAUGCACCUAAGUCACCGGAAAAUGAACCAAGUUUCAUAACCAAAUCGGAACAAAGAUUCAAAGAGAUGACAAAAAAAUUGCGUUCAAGUUGGAAAAAAAUAUUGAUACCUCCAUGAAAAUUCCAUUGACACCAACAGCUACGGCUGUUCUUGCUACGCAUGGUAUUAAUUCGCGAAGGCCUCCACUAGCAACACCCCCACCAUCUAACUAUAUAAACAAGGUAUGUUUGAGUUUAGACCAAUUCUGAUUUAGCUUUAAAACACCAAGCACUUCUUAAAUUACUCAGAGCAUCGUUCUAAUUAUCAUACCUUCUUGCCUGCAGGUUGUUGUAAUGAAUGAGUUAUAUCAGCAACCUGAAGCCAAUAAUUAUUAAGAGUGUCAAAACAUCAAAAAGUAUAAAGCCAAAACAAAGAUAUAAACUCCCACAACAAGAAAAGAACAAGAAGCAAGAUUAACUUACAACGGGACAAUCAGCUUCCCUCAUCCAUUCCAAAUUUCGUGGAUCUACUAUUAAAUCAUCUGAGGAACAAAAAUCAAAUGUGAGGACACUCAGGAGUCAUAAAGAAGGUAUCCAGUGUCUUUAGUCUAUUUUGGUCCCUAUUUGCAUAAAAGUGGUGAAUAUCUACAUGUUCAUUCACGCUGCCAAUUCUAUUGACACAAAGAACAUUUAACUUACUGUAUCCAAACAUGGUUCCUCUUUCACAAACCAUCACAUUUGGAUUCCCUGCGAGUCUAACCUUCUCGGCCGAGUUUCUCAUGACCUUAAAAUGGAUAUACAUGAAAUCAGUCACUACAAUAUACCAGGAAACAAAAGUUUCUCCAGAUCAAUAAGAUAACUCACAGAGUGACCACAAAAUUGUCCUUUCUUUAUGUUGAUAAUUUUCCCAGUUUGGGCUGCCGCGACCAGAAGAUCUGUCUGGAGAUAUAGGCAGUGAUUAAAACCAUGAACCCUAUCCAUAAAUGAUAAAUUCAAACAGUAGAUGAAAAUUUGAUUGCUAAGAAAGCAUAUGUUAGAAUCUUGCCUGGCGACAUAAGAACGCUGGUAUCUGAAUUACAUCUGCAACCUUGCCGACCGCUUCACACUAAUAAAAACAAGCAAAGCAUCAGAAAGAAACAAAAAAAUUUCGAAUAUUGAUUCUCUGAUGUGACUAAAACUCCAUAUACCUGGCUCGAUUCAUGAACGUCAGUUACGAUUGGUAGAUCAUAUGCUACUUUCACCUUCUCAAGAAUCUGUUGAGAGAAACAGAAAAGUUACUACCUUUACUAUACUUGUGCAGAAAUUACACACAAGAGAUGAAGCCACACCAAUACUAGUUUCCGUCAUAAAGAUAAAUCGCUUUAAUACUCUUGAAGGUUUUCAAAUGCACAGUUGUAACAGCACCAGAUAGAGAAUCAUCCAUGCUUGCAACUGAAGAAGAGGGAAUGAUUAAUCAAAAAUAACCUUGAGACCCUCAGGCAUGCCAGGACCUCGGAAGGACUUUGAUGAAGUUCUGUUAGCUUUAUCGAAACUUGACUUGAAAACCAGGGGCAAUCCAAGCCUACAACAAGAGCAUGCUUAACAAUAAGUAAGUAACCACAUUGUCCAAUAAAUGAGAGGAUCAGGGUUUCCACUAUGACGCGAUUGCUAUAAGUGGAAUACAAUUUUGAAAAUAUUUCCCCCUUUUCAAUUUUUUUAUUAGUUCCGUUCGCCACAGUUGAACACAAGAUGUCAGAACAAGAAAAGAGCUUCAAUGGUGAUGGUUACACAUACGUUGUAGAAAUCUCUUUGAUGCUUUUCGCCAUUCGAAGAACAUGUUCUUCGGAUUCAAUCACAUUUGGACCAGCAAACAAGAAAAACGGCUCCGCAACCUGCAAAGAGUCAUUGUGCGUUUGAUAAGACCACCGGAAGAAAAUAAAAAAAAAAUGAGCAUUGUAAAAAAGAAGACUCAACCUUGAGCUGAUCGUACAGUAGUGACGCUGAAUUCGCCAUUUUUUAGUAGAGCUUAAGAUCAGAAAACAAAACCUCAACUUUUUUAACAAAAUUCACGAAGAAACAAGAAUUUAGUGAUGGUCUGGUUUUGAUUCGAUUUCGGUGGAUAAAUCAGCCAUCCGGUUUUGAUUCGAUUUCGGUUCUUUCACUUGUAAAUAACAAAACCAACCGGUUAGAAAACAAACUUCGAUUUGAUUCGGUUUUAUUUCUUCGGUUACGGUUUGAUCUUUUUACCAACAUUUUCGUUUGUCAUCUUUCGCUCCUAAACCUCCUUGUUCACCAACUCCUCCACUAAACCCUAGCUCACACUCACUAUUCAUUUCUAUCUAUCGGCAUCGACGCCAUUGUUGGAUUGAAGAUGUCAGGAUUCGAAGAUGGAUUUUCAGCUGAAAAGCUAUUCUCACAGGGAUACUCAUACACCUACGACGAUGUGAUAUUUCUACCUCACUUCAUCGACUUUUCCACAGACGCCGUCUCUUUAUCCACGCGCCUCAGCAAGCGCGUCCCACUCUCGAUCCCUUGCGUCGCUUCGCCGAUGGACACUGUAUCUGAGUCCCACAUGGCUGCUGCAAUGGCUGCGCUUGGAGGAAUCGGAAUCGUGCACUAUAACUGUGACAUCGAGACUCAAGCUUCCGUCAUCCGUCACGCCAAAUCGCUUCAAGUUCCGAUUGCGUCUGAUGCUGUUUUCAAAUGCCCAGAGCAUCAGAUUGGUUCGGUUGAUGAUUUUGGUCCUUCUUCCUUCGUUUUUGUCUCGCAGACAGGUAUAAUUUCACAAUCGAUUUCAGACCUUUUAGCUGAAAGUUAGAUACUUUCAUUUUCAGAAUGAAUCAAAAUCGUGGUAAUAAUUGUGAAGUAGUUUCCAUUUGAUAAUUUUUUGUUGUUGUUGUUGUUGUUUGAUUAAUCAGGAACACUGACACCGAAAUUGUUGGGUUAUGUCUCAAAAUCGGAGUGGUCGAGUAUGAAAGAUGACCAAAAGGAGAUGAAGAUAUAUGAUUACAUGAGGAGUUGUGAGAGCAAAGAUUACUAUGUGCCAUGGGAUAUUGAUCUUGACAAGAUUGAGGCGGUUUUGGAAGAUAAGCAGAAAGGAUUUGUGGUUCUGGAGAAGGAAGGUGAGGCCGUCAACGUAGUAACAAAAGACGAUGUGGAGAGGGUUAAAGGAUAUCCCAAGUUAGGGUCAGGAACUGUUGGUGCAGACAAGAAAUGGAUGGUGGGUGCGGCUAUAGGGACUAGGGAUUCAGACAAGGAGAGGCUAGAGCACUUAGUGGAUGCUGGAGCUAACGUUGUGGUGCUGGAUAGUUCGCAAGGGAACUCAAUUUACCAGCUUGAGAUGAUCAAGUAUGUGAAGAAUACGUAUCCAGAGUUGGAUGUGGUUGGUGGGAAUGUGGUGACUAUGUACCAGGCAGAGAACUUGAUCAAAGCAGGAGUUGAUGGGUUGAGAGUUGGUAUGGGAUCUGGAUCUAUAUGCACAACACAAGAGGUUUGUGCCGUUGGACGAGGACAGGUAAAUGAAAAAGCUUUCAUAUUUGAAAUAGAGUGCUAAGUUGAUUCUAUGAAUUGCACCUUACGAAGUCGGGUUCUUUUUUUUGUGAUUGGUUCUCUCUUAGGCUACUGCCGUGUACAAAGUCUCGACACUAGCUUCUCAGCACGGUGUACCUGUUAUCGCAGAUGGUGGCAUCUCAAACUCAGGUCACAUUGUGAAGGCUCUAGUUCUUGGAGCAUCAACUGUGAUGAUGGGAAGCUUCUUGGCUGGAAGCACCGAAGCUCCUGGAGCUUAUGAAUAUCGAGUAAUUGCACACACCUUCCGACUUUGGAUAUUGAUUAACAACCUUCCUUGAUUUUUUUCCUCAAUAUCUUGCUUUGUUUGGUCUGUUUUGUGUUAAUUAUAGAACGGUAGGAGAGUGAAGAAAUACAGAGGUAUGGGUUCAUUAGAAGCAAUGACCAAAGGAAGUGACCAGAGAUACUUGGGAGAUACCGCGAAACUCAAGAUUGCACAAGGAGUGGUUGGAGCGGUUGCGGACAAAGGCUCAGUGUUAAAGUUUAUACCUUACACAAUGCAUGCUGUGAAGCAAGGUUUCCAAGAUCUUGGUGCUUCUUCUUUGCAGUCUGCUCACAAGCUAUUGAGAGAUAAUAUCCUUAGACUCGAGGUAUGUCGUUAAAUCUAGUCCUUGGAAAACUAUCUUAAUUUGCGAUUUCUGCUGUUUUGAUGUUAGUAUUUACGUUUAUGGUGUUGAUGUUGUGUAUAGGCUCGUACCGGUGCAGCACAGAUAGAAGGUGGAAUCCAUGGACUGGUUUCUUACGAAAAGAAAUCGUUUUAGCUUUCCCGAGUUUACUUUCUUAUGUAACCGUGCACUAUACUAGUGUCAACAAUAAGGUUCUGUAAUCCUGUAAUAGUUGAAUCGUGUUUCGUAAUGCUAUUUCACUGAAUCACUACCCUAUUUCAACCAUAUCCAACCAUUUGGGGUUAUGGAAUUGUGUUAUAUUUAACUUUUGUUCAUGGUUUCAGUUUUGUAUUAAACACAAUAAACAUGAAUUUUGCUGGAUCAAAAUAGUAUUAAAUGGCUUGCCACCACAUGAAAGUUUCAACCUCUCAUGUCCAUUAUGCAUGAUUCUGACAAUACAUACAUAUGGGUUCCUGACCCAGUGAUACCAACCUUUACACCGUGGUCGCAGCGUUUAAUUUAGUUAGUUCCCAACAAACUUUGAGCUAUAUCAAACAAAAAAAAAUAAAAAUUUAUAUGAUGUGAUUAGUCUUAUGGGUUAGUCUAUACAUAAUUUUUCUCAUAAACGGUAAAAAUCUAUUCUCAUAGGGAAUUUAUUUACCAAUAGAAGGAGAAGUAAGUGACAGAUCCCAGAAACAACAAACAAGAGCUUAAAACAACUCUUAUCAUCGUCCACCUCCAGCACUUCUGUUCCAUGACAAGUACGAUGGAUCUCCCAAUUGCCUGAAACACAUAAGUAAAACAUAACAUUUACAGUUUUGUCAUUUGUGCUAUAUAGACUGCUAUAUAGACUAUUAAAGACUCUCUAUGACGUUUUAUGAAAACAGUCUCAAAAAUCAGAGAAUGUUACAUAUGUACCUUGGUUUUGCUAGAUACAAGACAGAGAAGGAAACAGCCAAGAACAAGCAUAUGCUACCAACAGUCAAAUACGCAAUCCCAAGGAAAUCAUUCCUUCCACCGAGCCAGCUAGUGGUAGAGAGCACAAGCUUCUUCUUUCCAUUGAAGCUAUAAGUGUUGUAAUUGUUCUGUAACAAGACCUUUAUCGUAUCUCCGGCUUGAAGAUCAGUAUCUAUUUUACCGUACAGCUUUCUAAAUGUUGGUAGAGCCGCAGUUCGCAUCCAGACAAUUAGAUCUUCUUGUUCACUUAACUGUCAGAAACAUACAUUUUUACCAGUUUUUAUAUAUCACUUUAGAAUUUUUUUACUUAAGAUGUGAGAUUCUUAGCACAUCAAAAAGACUUACUGGAACAUCAGGAUCAAGACUUUUACCGCCGAUGGGAGAUCCUUUCUGGAAAUUUUUCGGGAAGACAUUUUUACCAAACUUUGAUUCUCUAUCACUCUUCCAUGAGAUGCCUUUCUUAUUCACAGGGAGUUUUUGAUUGUUUCUAGUGAAGUCAUAAGUAUCAUUGAACAAACUCCAAGCAACAAGACCACAAGGAACAAUGGGUUCACCAUCUAUAGUAUCCUCGGGCGCACAUGAUUUCACAUCGUGCUCAUCUUUCGGACUUCUCAAUUGUCCAUCUUGUCGACUUUUCACAUACCUUCAAUUUGAAAAAUCAUCAAACAAAGUUUUAUUUUCUCAAACUAUUUCAAAUUAAGCCUUGUGCAAUACCUUUAGUAAACAUAUACGUGAUGUGUAAAAAAAAAAAAAUUGAAUCUUGCUGGAAUGCACCAAUAGCACAUGCUCAAAGAGGUUCUGCUAGAGUCCAUGGAAAGUCGCAAACACAAGAAUGAAUACUAAUAGUGAUAUGUUACCGUCGAUGGUUUUGGUAAUAGUUCUCAAGCUGGUAAUAUACAUACACCGGAUUCUUCAUAGUUUUUGUCACCUAUCAUAAAAAAACAUUUAUAAAAAAGAUUGUGAACGAAAGUUAAUUAAGAAGUAUAUAGCAAGAACUAAAGAUGAUAGAUAUCUACCAUUAUUGUUCUGUUACACCUCUUAUCUUCUAAGCCCUGUAUGUAUCUGACUUUGUUGUCCCUAGAGGAUAAUGGAAUGCAGUCUAUGUCAUAUCGAUAAACAAUUUCGAUGACCUGAUCAUGUAUGUAAUAAAAAAAUCAAAUCAUAUUCACAAAAAGAAAUAAUUGUAGCUGAGGAAAGUAAGAAAAGACUAAAACAUACACCCUGAGAAGCAAAUAGGCAAAUCACUCCAAGAGGAAUAAAGACAACCCCUGAGACAAGAAAAGUCAGAAUCACCUGCAAAACAAGAUAACCAAAAAAAGAGUUUAACUAUGAAAAACAUUGGAAAUUGUACCCCUAGGAAUGUUUACAUUGUUAUGAGUUAUUGAUUCUUUACCCAUUUUGGAGUAAGAAUGGGUUUGCAUGCUGGAAGCUCCUGUUGGGUAAAUCUUGAAUCUAAUGAAGCAAAUUCAGCCAACAGAUUAGGUUUCUUAGUAUACAGAUUCAAGGAAACUUAUAUUAAGGAAUCAAAAAGGUAUCACACAUUUUAAUUUGUUGGGGAGUUACAUCAAUCCAGCAACACAAAAUGGGUUUCAACUACACCCUUGUUAAAUUUUCACAUGGAAUGGAUUACUAAAAGAUACCAAACAAAUAAGAAAAUACAAGCAUCCAUUUGUUUGUUUGAACUAGAUUAAUAUCAGUAAUCUGAUUUUUUCCCUAUAUGAUAUAUCUGUAUACAAUGUAAAUUAAUUAUAGUCAUUUGCAUUGAUAAAUGAAGCAUCGAAUAUGAUGAUCUAGAGACUAGCAACAUCUCAAACAAAAGAAUCUGAGUUCUUAACAUUUAUUUUCAACACGCACAUAACUUCCUCUCAAGAGAAAAGCAUAGAAAGAUUGAUCAAUGACAACAACUAUUGGUGGAAUUACAAAGUCAUUCUAGAACACUAUGUACGAUACCAAAGUACAGAUUUGUCAAAUCCGCAAAAGAAAAAAAAAAUCAAAAAUAACCUCAAAUGACAAAAUGUAUCAAAAAUUUGAGAAUAGAUUAGAGAUCACAUUUUGGACGCUUUGAGGUGCUUUUGGCAGCAGCUGCCUCAGCGGAUCCACCGCCUAAUGCAAUUGAGGACGUCCCAGAGGAGCUCAUUAUGAAAGAAUUGACAAGGAGAAAAAAACUAAUGCCGUUUUCAAAAAUAAUGCGUUUUUUUUUUGUGUUUGACUUUUUCGAAUAUCUAAAUAAGUAAAUAGUAAAUACCCAUUUUCACCGAAUUGUGAGAUUUAUCUUGUUUUUUAUCGGUGUUUCCAUCGGUCAUACGAGACCAAACCAUAUAGCCAAAAUUAGAUUGACGAAUAAAAUGUGAAGCCAUGCCAUAUUAUUGAGCUUAUCUUAUGUAAUAGCUUUUGUCAACAACAUUCAUUUGAUUGGAUUUUGAAUGACACAGUAACAACUCUGGUACAACUUAUACAGUUUUCGUAGAUUACAUGGUUUGGUCAAGCUGGUCCCAAAAAUUGUGUCCUUCAAUCGGCAUUUAUUAUGAGACUAACGAGUCCGACUCAUAUUAGUACACAGAAAGAAGCCCAUCAAACACACAAAUUAUACAAAUCGAUUGAACAGUCGUACAUUAUAUACAGGUCCAUGUGACCCAAUCAUUUACUUUCUGUUUUCUUUCAAUCAUUCUUAUUUCUGCAAUAUUUAAUUCAAAAUAAUGGAUUUUAAUUUUUUUUUCUUUUCAAAUAAUUACUUGAAAUAGGUUAAAAAUAGAUACCAAAGAUUUUAUUAUAAUAUAAAAAUAAUUUACAUAAUUCUAUGCAAAACAUGAAAGAAAAUUGUAUCUAGUUCUAAUGACAAUUGAAUAAAAUAUAUUUUAAAUUAAAGGUUAGUUACAUUAAAACUAAACUUUAGUCUUGUAUUAAGGAUUGUUUUGCCCAACUGUCUUAUUUUUGGGUUGGUUGGUAAUCUAUAUUUUUCGUUUCUAAUCACUUUAUACAACCACCAUUUUCAACUGUUUAAUCAUUUAAUCAUUCCAUUGAUUGAUAAAAACGAUGAGUAAUCUUUGCUAGUAUCGGAUUAGAGGGUAGGAUUACAACUUGGUCUAACUACAUCCGAUUUAAUGUUUUAAACCAUUCCACUAAUUUUAUUAAACCAUUCCACUAAUUUGUGAUGAACCAAUCCAACUAAAAAAGUUUUGGUCCACCGAAUUGAUUGAUAACUUCCCAAGCCGUCUAAUCUAAACUGCCACCAAUCAAACCAGUACUUUCUAUACUAACACGGAUUCUCGACGUGAUGAUUUAGUCCAUGGCAUGUGAACGGAUCCGAUCGUGGCUCAACCAGUAAAGCUAUGUUUUUAAAAUUAGAUAAAUCAAAUCCACGACUUAUAAGUAUGACCAUCAAUAUAAAAGAAACAGUAAAACAGUAAUGAACUGAAUCCAUACUGGCAUGAAUACUUUGACUUCGACGACCCAAGCUUCACUUGAAGCACGUUUGAAAUAUUAUUAUAACACAUAUUAAACACGGUAUGAAUUAAUUUAUACAAGUUGAGAUUUGCUUUUAAUGAAAACACAGAUUCAGAUUUAUAUAUAGUUGAUAAGAAUUAAUGAGAGUAUACCAAUAGUCAAGUCAAGCUCUUCAAAAACACAAAAACAAAACCAAACACAAAGCUCGAAACUAAACAAUAAUGGAUGAUCCAUCAGAACCAUUGUUGUCUCAUUUCGCCAAUGAUUCUGGAGUCAACGACAAAACAGCAUUGACUUUCGACAAGAUCGUCGAACAGAGUCUAUCAGAUUUCGGAUUCUGGCAAUUUUUCCAGAUAUCCCUGGUUGGACUCGCUUUGCUCUUCGAUGCUCAGCAGAUAUUCAUCACCGUGUACACAGAUGCUUAUCCCACGUGGCACUGUCUAAACCACACGAUCUGUGAUCCUUCAGCUUCCGACAUCUGCAAUCUUCCAAGAUCAGCUUGGGAAUGGGACGGUGGUUCCAAGGGCAAAUCCGUCAUUUCAGAAUUCGGCCUCGAGUGCUCGAGGUCUUUACUCAGAGGUAUGCCUAGUUCCGCUUUCUACAUCGGUGCCAUUGUUGGAGGCUUUUUUCUAGCUUUGAUCCCAGACGAUUCCUUGGGUCGCAAGAAACUAGUUUUGUUCUCAACCUUUGCAAUGUCAAUCACUUCAAUCUGUGUUAUCUUCUCAACCAAUAUAUGGAUUUAUACAUUCCUAAAGUUUUUCAUCAGAUUUUCGCGAUCACAGACCUGGUCAUACGCGUUGGUUCUCAUCAGUGAGCGAGUCUCCACCAGAUGGAGACCUAGAGCUACAAUGAUUCCAUUUACCCUAUUUGUUUUAGGGUUUAUGUCGUUGUCUGGAAUCGCUUACCUUGCUCAAGAUUCUUCAUGGAGAUAUCUCUAUCUAUACACAUCUGUUCCAGCGAUAUUUUACUGUAUCUUCCUCUACCUCUUUGCACUCGAAUCACCUCGGUGGCUUCACAUGCAAGGAAAUGAUAAAGAAGCCAUUGAUGUUCUCACAAAGAUGUCGCCGAAGAACAAAGCUUAUUUGGAAUCAGUGGUUUCUAAGUUACCCCACGAGCAAGAAAACUUUGAACAAGUGCCAACUUACUCUAUUAAGGACUUCUUCUUCCGAAAAUGGGCUUUUCAGAGGAUUUUAGUUGUUAUGAUCAUAAUGUUUGGGUUGGGAAUAUCGUAUUACGGUGUUCCUUUAGCAGCUAGAGACAUAGAUGUCAACAUCUACUUGAGUGAAACCCUAAAUGCAUUGGUGGAGCUGCCUACUUUCGUCAUCACUCCAAUCUUAUUGGAGAGAUUCAACAGAAGAAGCUCUGUUCUAGUGAAUACCUUACUUGGUGGGGCAUCGGGAGUGCUCUGUUUUGUUCUCAGCAUCCUCGGAACAUUCUUCUGCGCAAGGAUCGGAUUCAACCUUAUGGCAGUUUUUAUGGUUGAAAUGUUUCCAACUUGUGUGAGAAGUUCGGCAACAAUGAUGUUUAGACAGGCUCUUGUUGUUGGAGGAGCUUGUUGUCCGUUAAUUUCUUCGAUUGGAAGAUACAUUCCGUCAGUAUCGUUUGCGAUUUUUGGAAUUGCAAUGUCAGGUUUAGGAUUGUUCGUUUUGAUUCUGCCUGAGACAAAAGGUUUGAGUCUCUGCGAUUCAAUGGAAGAACAAGAAAAGAGAGAUCAAGCCGUAAACACUAGCCAUGUUUGCUGAGAGUUUAAGAGUUUGUUUAGCUUAAACAUUCUCCAUUUUCAUAUGUUUUCAAUUCUGUGAUGUUUGUCUUGAUUUUAUAAGAGUAAAAUAUUUGAAGUUUUGUUAAGUAAAAACUAAAGAGUAUUUGCUAAUCAUCUACAAAGCUAUCAAAUGAGUUUCUAUGUCUUUGAACUACUAAUACAGAAGCAUUUACAUCCAUAUUUGAUGAAGCCAAGAAAUCUCCGACUGUUCCUAAUUCCGGACACUCUUCCCAAUCGUUCAUUCCUGAAGUCAUUGGACAAUCUCCUCUGUUUUUUCCUACCACAAACAGUGAAUACAUCUCCCCGAUCUCUCUCAGAAUUGUCAGCGUCUGCACUCCGUUGCUCACUCGCUUCUCUAUGAAUCCAACUUGCCCCGUCGUCACAAAUCUUUCAAGACAAAUCAAAAACAUCCCCGUAAAUGAAAAACGCAAUGUAAUUCUGGUGAAGACAAGAUACAGAAACAGAGUAUACAUAUAUAUAUAUAUAGCGACAUAGUAACAGAGUACUCGUCAUGCCAAAAACAGAGUAUUUGUAAGGUACCUGUUAUAGAAUUCUUCUAAGAAGAUUCGAUCUGUUUCGUCUUCGGUUUGAUCUUUACUAACAAUCUCCAAGAAUACUUCGUUGUUUUCCUUGGUCACCGCGUCACCAACAAGUUUCUCCAUCUUUGAGUCAUCGGCCACAAACUGUAUUACAGUGAGGUGAAUCUGAGAGUUAUUGGUAAGCCACUUGCACAAGGACAGAGCCUCACGGUCAUCAGGACCACCGAAGAACAACGCCGCAACGUGUUGUACCGAAUCAGAGCCGUGAAGCUGGUGAAACCCGGUUAUGUUUCUAUCAACAAAGAUACCUAUCGAACACUGAGCUUGCUUUAGAACCUUCCGGUUCAUAUGUCGAAAAACUUCCCCGUCAUUGGUGGUUUUCCCGUCGAUCCUCUGGUGUUUAUGAAAGGGAAGAAACACAAUCGAGACGCGAAGAUCUUCAGUCGCGUUACAGAUCUCUUCGUGCAUAGUCUCCAUCGGUGCCACGAGUUUCACUUGCCGGAUCAUGAUUUUUCUGUCUUUAGUAAACGAAUCGAUCGAGUCAUUGAUCUCUAGUCCUUCAUUAGUCCCGAACUCAUCGUCUCCACCGUUGGAAUUUCCUCCAUCUUCGUCUAAUUCGUGGUACAACAAUUCCGUUUUCCGCUUCUUCGGGAGCGGUAUGAGGUGCAUAAGAUAAGGCGUGAACGGCGAAGAAGAAGCUCCAGGAGAGAAGCCACUUAGAGCAGAGACUAAAGAGAUUGAUCCACGAGCAUGACGAACACCAUAGACGCACGUCAACACUCGUAACUCCUCUUUAGUGUCAAAAAACUCAAGUGAUGUUUUUAUGUGUGCGAAACUCUUUUCUUGCACUCUAAGCAACAAAGACGUCAUAACUCCGCUUAACAAAGUCAUGAUCACUAGAGCCGCAACGAACAUAUCAUGAACUACCGGAGUAAACCAUUUCUACAAAGAGAAAACCAAUAACACGGAGAUGAAGAUUAUUAACUGACUUGAAAAACUAAAUUAACAAAAACUCGUAAUUUGUUGUAAUACCUUGUAAAUCAAGUUAGAGUCGAGAAGAACAAGACCUAUAUGACCUUUGACGGAAAGCAUAGUUGACAAGAAAAGCCAAUACUUCUUUGGGAUCUUUAGGAAUGAACAAGCGCAUAAAACUCCUAGAAGCUUCCCCAGUAGGCUUAAAGCCACUGUCAUAGCAAGGACGAGGUAGUGGCGUUUGGUUAACGAAUUCACGCUAAAUCUAAACCCGAUGUAACCAAAGUAAACCGGAAGAACAAACUCGUGAAUCGGGUAACUCAACCGUUGGAUCAUCGUUCUGUAAGUUUUUCCUUCUCUCGGAAACAUUAAUCCGAUGAAAAACACAAAAAGCGUGGAGUUUAAGUUGCUGGAUUCAAUGGUUAACGCGAUGAUUAGAAUAAUGAUGAAGAAAGCAAGCGUUUCAGCUUUGGAGAGAUAUUUCUCUUUAGGGUUUCUUUUUGGGAGCCAUGAAGCUAAGAAUCUAUUAAUCAAGAUUAUAACUCCGGUGGCAAAUGUGUAGAUAAAAAUAUCGGCGGUCAUAGUCCCUGAGAUGAAAGAAAGGACGAUAGUGUAGAGAAAUAUGUUGGUUAUCUCGAUGAACAAUCCACAUGAGAUUGCUAGCCGUCCGAUCUCAGAUGUGUGGAGUUUCCAAUCGAUGAUCGAACGGAUGACGACAGGAGCUGCCGUGUUGGACAAGGUAAUGAGGAAGGCUAAGUAAAAUGUUAAGAAAUCGCCUUUGAUCUGCAUGAAAUGGAUGAUAAACCAGAGGAAAGGGAGCCAGAUGAUGCCAGAGGUGAGUAAGGAGCCCAAAGUUAUGACAAUGGAGUUCUUUAAGUUUCGUUUUAUGAAGUCAAGAUCGAUCUCGAGACCGAUCAAGAACAUGAAAGCUGUUCGUAAAAGGAAUGAGAAAAAGAUGUAAUAGCUCGCUGAAUCUUUCUGGAGGAAGAACUCGUGGACUUUGCGGAUUAUUGUGAGCAAACUCAACACAAUCCCAGCCUGAAUUAAAAUGAUCAAACCGUCAGUUUUUUUCUGAAUGUUUAUAAUAUAUCAAUUAUCCUGGUUUUUUGCACGACAGGUUAUUCUCAGGGUUUAAGGAGUCAAAUUGUGAAAAGUUCAAAAAUAAAAAAAGUGUUUAAAAGUAUUUUUAAAGAAAAAAACUUACGAGAAUCUGGGCAACGGGACCGGCUUGGCCACAGGGUUUAAGGAAGAGAUAGAAGAAUUGAGAGAAGACGAGAAUGCAAGCCAUUUGAAUAAACAUUGUAUUGAGUGGAUUAAACAAUGCAUCUCCUUCUGGUAAACAAAACAACAUCUUUGGAUCCAUUUUCUUGAUUCGAUUUUGAGCAUUCUUCAAAGUUCAAUGCGGGAAAUAUAAAAUUUGAAAGAAACUUCAAUUUCUUUUAAAACGAAGAAUAUAUAGUUUUCAGUUUUUUUCUUAAAAAUAUAAAUAUUACUUUAUCUUGGAUUGGAGUUUGAGGGGUUUACAUUUACGUGAUUUUCCUCCAAUUACUCCAUGCCUUUUGUUUUUCGCCAUUUAUUUUUCUUGUCGACACAUUUAAUUUUCGCCAUUAAAAGCGGAUAUACUUACUAUUAUCGGAAAAUGCAUGAAUUAUUGGAGUAGGUUUAAAGGGGGUAAGUUUAUGUUUUUGGUAAGAUUAUACAAAAGUGUCGAUUUCAGGAAGAAAACUAUGUAAACUUAAUUUUUUCUUCUGACAUUAGGUUCUUUCAAAAGUAUUUACUAACAUUGCAUCCAAUGGAAAAAUCAAACAAAAAACUAUUGCUUUUUUGUCAACGAAAAACUAUAGCUUUUAUGUAUUAUAUUUUAUAAGUUACUGCACUACUUUAUGUAUGAAUUAAAAUUAACAGGUAUACGUCAAAUUAUUUAUUUAUAACUUAUAUCUGAUUUUCUUAUUUCAAACAUUUAUAUUAUACCUGCUGAAAUGUUAUAUUUAUUUUCUUAUUGAUUAAAUGAAUAUUUUUAUUGGACAGAAAAUUAUCGAGUAUAUUGUUAUAAACUGCAUGAAAAACAGAGCAUCCAUCUAUAUAUUAGACUUUCGAUGACAUUCCAGUGUUCUGUAUAAAACAAAACUAUGCCUCCACAAAUUUGUAUAUUUUAUUUAUGUUCUCCUACAUGCAUAAGGCUACGUAUAAGCUUCCAAAUGACUAGAGACAUUCGAAUUAAAGACAUCUCCCAUGCUCUGGAAAGCAAUUAGAUUAAGCUUAUCUUGUCCAACUGCAGCAACCAGGUGCAACUUGAUCAUUAUUUAAGUUACAGCAUCUAAUAUUGAUUUUAAUUUUGUACUUACCUUACAAUAAGAUUUAAUCCAAAAAUAUGUAUUUAUUUACAAAGAUGUAUAUCAAGAAAUGAUAAAAAGCUCAUUGAUGUAAAAAAAAAAAUGAUAAAAACCCAUCGAAGAAUAAAUGAUAAUUAAAGAAGUAGACCCAAAGUGGCUGAGUGUGGGAUCACAGGGAGCUAAUUAACGGCGGUGGGGAAGAAGGUCCUGAGAAACCAAUUAUAGAUGGCUCAUCCUCAGCCAUUCACUUAGCCAUCGAGAGAUCUAAGAGCAAGAUUAUCGGCAGGUUCUUAAAUGAAUCUUAGGUUUUAGAAUGAUUUAAUUUAAAUCAGAAAAGGUGAAUAUAACUAAGGAACGUUCCUUAGUUAAGGAACGUUUUCUGUCUUAAGAGUUGGACACGUGUCAAGGUCAGAAGCCCCAAAUUCUCUCUCUUCUCCUCCUCUCUCUCUUUCACGUUCCUCUUCUCUGGCUUGGAGGAGAUUUCGCGAUUAACCUCUUCUUCUUCACAAUUCAGUUUCCAAUUUCACAAAAUCUUAAAAUCAAUCUCUCAAAUAUCUCAAUCGUGAUCAAGGUAAAUUUCUGGGUUCUUAUUCAGUUUAUCCUAUUGAAGAUACUGUAUCUAAUAAAUGUGUUUUAUAUAUGUAAUGAGUUUGACGCCAAAAAAAAUAUUAUAGACUAAAGACAUGUCCUGCUAGCUGGAUCCUAGUCACUGUCUCACGGACAGUAUUGCAUCCAAAUUUUUAAUUAGUUGUGAUCGAUCACAAUAUUUACAAAACUUUCCCACCAUUCUAAAAUAACAUUUUUUAAUUACUACCUCUUUUUUUCAUACAAAAAAAAUAAAUUUUUAAAAACUGUUAAAUGAUAUUUUAUUUCAUCCAAUAAUUUAUCGGACGUAAAAUAACUGGAAAGAUUCUAUCCAAAAAAAAUAAAAUAUGGAAUGAAAUAAUCAAUUAUUUAUAUAAGAAAUUUAAUUUAAAUGCACACACAAGUUGUAUUUUAUUCUCUAUAUAUAGAUUAUAGAGUAACAAAAAUUGAUUGGACAUGCAAAUCAAUUCAAACAUAAAAUUAAGUACGAAAGAAAACCCUAUCUCUUCUUAUAUAUGGCCGACUCGACACGGCCGCUUCUCUCCGAUUCCAACUCGUCCGAGUCAAAUCUUCCACCACCAAAAUCCCUUGACGAGACGAUAGAGCAAUGCAUCGGAAACUUCGGGUGGGCACAAUUCCUCCAAGCCGCUUUAGUCUCAUUCGCUUGGGUCUUCGACGCUCAACAAACAUUCAUCACUGUCUUCACCGACUCACAACCCACAUGGCACUGUACCGACUCGGACCUAGUCGACUCAGUAUGCAACACGUCAUCUUCCAACCUCUGCACCUUACCCAACCAAACCUGGUCUUGGGACUUCAACCCUCACGUGUCAAUCAUUUCCGAGUGGGGGCUACAAUGCGCCGGCUCGUUCCUCAAGGGAUUGCCUGCAAGCUCCUUUUUCCUUGGCUGUCUAAUCGGCGGCUUAGUUCUUUCUACACUCGCCGACUCAUCGCUCGGUCGUAAGAACAUGCUCUUGUUGUCGUGUCUCAUAAUGUCUCUUUCUUCGAUGUUAACAGCUUUCUCAACGAGCAUUUGGGUUUAUGCGUUUUUGAGAUUCUUGAACGGGUGUGGCCGAGCCACGAUCGGGACUUGCGCGCUCGUUUUAUCAACGGAGUUAGUCGGUAAAAAAUGGCGAGGAAAAGUCGGUGCUAUGGGUUUCUUUUGCUUCACGUUAGGGUUUUUAUCGCUGCCGAUGUUAGGUUACAUUAAUAACGGGAAUUCGUGGAGGUAUCUUUAUGUUUGGACAUCGAUACCGACUUUAAUCUAUUGCUGUUUAAUUCGGAUUUUCGUCAGGGAAUCUCCUAGAUGGCUUAUCGUAAAGGGUCGUAAAGAAGAAGCCGUCUCAAUUCUCCAAAGCAUUGCUUCUAAUGCAAUCACUAUGAGCUUCACGAACUUAUGUUUUGAUAUAGAAGAGGAUCAAUCCAAUUCAAAUCCUGAUGUUUACGACGCGUUAAAGAUCUUGGUGAGGAAAAGUUGGUCGUUUAGGAGAUUAUUAGCGGCAAUGGUGGUUGGAUUUGGUAUCGGUAUGGUUUAUUACGGAAUGCCAUUAGCUUUAACGAAUCUAAACUUCAAUCUUUACUUAGGUGUUGUAUUCAACGCCUUGUCUGAGUUCCCAGCUUUUCUGAUAACGUUUUUCUUCAUUGAUAAAAUCAAUAGAAGAGAUGCGUUGAUCGGAUUUACAGCUCUAAGUGGAAUCUCUAGCGCUCUGAUCGCGGUGUUAGGACAACAACUAGGGGCAUUACAGAUUGUGUUAGAGCUCGUUUCGUUUUUCAGUGCGUGCACCGCAUUUAACAUGACGCUUAUAUACACAAUUGAGAUGUUUCCGACAUGUGUGAGGAACUCGGCGAUUGCGAUGGUGAGGCAGGCGCUGGUGUUUGGCGGCGUUUUUAGUCCAGUGAUGGUUGCUGCUGGUCGCGAAAAUCAGUUUUGGUCGUAUGGGUUGUUUGGUUUGGUCAUAGCAUUGUGUGGAUUGUUUGUGUUUGGAUUGCCGGAGACUAGAGGAAGUGUUCUAUGCGACACUAUGGACGAGGAGGAGUAUAAGACUUUGGCAAAGAGACAAUUUAUUGGUUGAUAGUGUUGUCUUUGCUGUAAUAAUUAAAAAGUAUGCAUGCAGGCUUAAACCGUUUCGGUAUUGAUUCAAAUGCCGGUCCUAUUAAUUUGGUGGCCUAAAGCAAAAUAACAAAAUAGAGUCUAAUAUUCUUUUAAGCAAAUUUUAUUGAUUAUACAUAAUAGUUUUUAUUUUAUAUUACAUGAUAUUAUUAGUUAUCAAAAAUAUAUUUAUCAAUAAUUUAUAAUAAGAAAAUAUGAACAUUAUUCACGUUAUUGUGAAAAACAGAACAAGAUAAAAAGAAAAUAUGGACAAAAUAAAUGUAAGUACAUGCACUCGAACCCUUGAAUAUGAGAGAUUACUCUUGGACACUUAGCACUACACCACCUAGGAUUCUUAAAUGUGGCCUCAACUUUUUAGUAUUUAUUUGUGGCCUAAAGCGGGAGCUUUGCCUGCCUUAUAGACGGGUCGGGCCUCUUCAAAUCAUUCUGGUUUUAAUACUUAUGAAACCACGUACGGGUUAACUCCUUGCAUUAAGCUUAAUUUCGAUGUAUGACCAAUUAUGACUUUUAUGAUUUUUUUAUCAUUAGACUGAUAUUUUUUUACAAUCAAGAAAAUAUAGAAAUUGGUCAUAAGAUAGUACAAUGGAAAGAUGGUUUUUUUUUUUUUUGUUGUCUGGUGUUAUUAAAAACAAGGUAAGGAUACAUAAGCCGGACACACCGGAAUCAAAGCUCGCAAAUUCCGACUAAACUAAGCUCGGAAUUUUGAGAGACAAAGCUCGCAAACUCCAACUAAACUAAGGUUGAAAUUUCGAGAGACAAAAGCCCGCAGAUUCCGACUAACUAAGCUCGAAAUCUCGAGAGACAAAGUCCGACUACCCGGGAAACAACUUCAUAUACAAACAAAGACUCUUAAAUGAGAUAUGCAAACACAACUAUUCAAAACUCAAAAACUAGACCAAACCCGAGAGCGGAAAACGAUUAGACAUGUUGGAACACCGAAAAUAACCAACCGAGGCUUCAACUCUACUUGUCCUCGCUUGAUGUAGGUAGACUUCAGAAAUUUGAAACUUGUGCUUCCUUGGGAUGGCAAGACGAAUCUUUCAAAAGAUAAUUGACAAGACCGACGAAACUGCCAGGGGCCGGAGAAAUCGAAACAAAUGUCGAAACCAGUUAGGAGGCAGCACAAACAAAACAGGUCUCGACCAAACCUGAAAUUAACUUCGUGUGGAGGAGACUAAACAGCCGCUUAAUCGACUCACCAAAACCUUCAGAGGGAAAGAAUGGUGACGGAUGCGAUUCGAUUAAGUCCUAGGAGAAGGCCAGCAAAGAGGAAUGAACAGAAAUGACAUAAACUCAUAACUUCCGCUGAGAACCAGAGACUGAGAGCCACAAAAACCGGACCAUAUGGCUAAACCAUACACACAGCCCGUCGAGAAAGGGCCAAACAACCAGCUAAUUCUCAGAUAACGACCAAGCUAACGAU
rnacentral:lncRNA from 1 species